UUUUUUUUGGGUUUUUCCAGUCUUCUGGUUUUUUUAGUCCUCAUUUAUUUUCUUUCCACUUGAAGCACAUGUAAGCUCCAACCGCGCUUCUCCAAAAAAGUGAAGCACACACUCCGUGAAAAGCACAAAUCAGUUUACUCGGAAGCACGUGUCAGUACAGUUUGUAAGCACAUAUUUACAUAAAAUGUUUAUCAAAACUUAUCAACAUGAAAUCUAGUUUAAAAAAUGUUGACAUGAGGAAUGCAACGAUGAAAACGGUUUAUGAUUUGGGCGCACGGUUCAAAAGAUAAAACAUUUCAAAAAAGGAAAUCUACGAAUAAACACACAAACAAAAUCACCGUGCCUCUCGUGGGGAGAAAUCCCACCAAAAUCCUUUGAAGGGGUACGAAAAAAUCAAAUCUAAAAAGUGAAAAGGAAAAACAACGAAAAAUAAAAAACCGAAACAAAAAACACACACAGAAAAAACCCGAAAGAAAACCAAACUCCCGAACGAAAGAAACACGAAGAAAGGAACGGACGGGCACGCUGCUUCCUGGGCCGGCUCAUUUCCCACCAGGCUUUUAGACGACAGCCAACCUUUCUCAGGCCCACAGCCGAAUGAGGCACUCCUGAAUGGGCCAAAUAAGUGGAUUUGACGAGAGAAGCCAGCCCAAGAGGCCCCGGACACCCUCGUCCUCCACCGGACCACCGCGGCGCCACUCCCCUUCGUCGGCCGCCACCCUCUCCGCCGGUCCCCUGCCUUCGCCCCCACUCCGUCCGCGAGCCCGGCAGGCGACGCCGGCGGCCAAGCCCCAUCGCCCGCCCCUCUCCCCGCCCUAUCAAACACCCCCUCUACCUCCAACUUUGCCCCCAAGAUGGUCUCCUCCGUCCCCACCCCCACGGCGGCGGCGGCGGCGCCCGAGUCACCGUCCACCAUCACGGACGGCGCCGUCAGCGGCACACUCCCGCGGACAGAGGCCUUCGCCGUGCACUACCCUGGAUACCCCUCCUCCCCCGCUCGCGCCACCCAUACCCUCGGCGGCCUCCCCGCCAUCGCCAAGGUACACCUAAAUCCCUCAUCCGUCUCGCUUCCAUCAGGCAGCGCAAGCGGAGUGACCUGCUUCCGCUUGUUCUCUGAUCCCCCGCAGGUCCGGAGUUCUGACCCUGGUUCCCGCCUCGAGCUCCGCUUCCGCCCGGAGGACCCCGACUGCCACCCGACAUUCGGCGAGCCCCGCGCCUCCACCGGCCUGCUCCUCCGCCUCUCAAGGCCCAAGGGAGGCUCCGCGCCACCGCGUGCCGAGGUGGUGGCGCGCGUCCGGACCGCCUACCAUUUCGAUGGUGAGCGCUUAGCUACAACCUGUUCGAUGAAAUGCCUUGCUCUUUAUUACGGCUGCCAUGUUCCAAGGCUCGCUUCUUUUGACCAGUUUGAGCAACUCUAACUAGUAGCUAGUAGAUUAUGAUAUGGUAUAUGGUGUUUACCAGUAUGAUACACUAUGUUGGACUAUGGAUGUUACAAAUAUAAGACUUUAUUUGGAGGCAGUGUUGUGUUUGAAUGCAGGAUUUUCUACAAGCAAAUUUGCUCAUACACAAGUUUAUGCAGGCAUGGCAGAUUUUCAGCAUGUCGUCCCAGUUCAUGCUGCUCAAGUGAGAAAAAGAAAACGGUUAGAUUGUCCCAGUGUUAAAGAUGAUUUAGGCACUGGUAGAAUACCUUCGGACUUUCUCUACUUUGAUGAUGCAAUGGCUUAAUGUUGCCAUUUCUGAUCACUCCUUUCCUCUUCUGCAUGGCAGAUAAGGCAGGAGGUCUAGACAUGGAUGAUGGAGAUGUCAUGAUGUUGGUACCACCACUCUUCGCAAUAAAGGAUAAUCCAACAAACAUAGCGUAAGUGCUCCUAGUCUCACAGUUUACAAUGACGUUGAAUUUGGGUGGGUGGUGUGUGUGUGUGUGUGUGUGUGUGUGUGUGUGUGUGUGUGAGUAUUUAUCAGCAUCUGAUUUGCUGCUGGUACCUCAAAUAUCUGCUGGAUAUAUAUAAAUAACCAUGACUAUAUCUGUGGCUUGAAAUAUUUGAAGUCAAUGCUAACCUAAACAAGCUUUGUAAAUUUGUCUUGUUCAUCUUCUAGUUGAACAACUCAUUGUUGAAAGUCCUUUUUUUUUCUCAAAUCAUCUCCAGUGAUGAGUCUCUUUUGCUUUGUGCAAUCAUCAUGGGUUUUUUCUUCGUCACCUGUAAAGGAAUGACAGUAGGUUCGGUUUCCUAUAAGUGCCGCACGACUUUUUGCCGACAAAUGCCUUUUAUCAGCACACUCAUUCACAUGGUCAACGUUGUAGCACCAGUUGUGUGGGCACAUGAAUCUUCACUAAGGCACCGACAAUAAUUUCAGAAUUGAUCAGAAUGCUCCCAAAUAUUAUUUUUAUCUAGAUAAAAACAUGUUAUUCUUACCUUCUCACCCUCGGAAAAGUGGAGCUAAGUUGUCUGCGUAGCUUCUGGGAUUAGCUCCACUAGCUUUAAAAAAUUUAUUUCACCAUUAUAUAUAUAUAUAUAUAUAUCUGACAAAUAAUAUAUCAUUAAAAUAUUGCUUAAUAAUAUUUACUGUAAUUUUUUAGGCUUCUACCAUCGACCAAUGCACUAUCCAAGAGCAUGCAAAGGGGAGUUGUGCGGCAUCGGUGGGAGGUUGAUCCUCCUUGCAUGGACCUUUUCUGUUGCUUAUCUGUUGCAGUGAUUCUAGGUUCUCAUGAAUGUCUACUAAAAUAUAAUUGUGACAUUUUUCUCAGUUUACUCUUUUGGGUAAACUGUACUCGGCCCUACAUUGCUUACCAACACUCUAAAUAGCAGUAAGCGGUAAGAGACAUGCCGCUCAGUCUGAAAGCGGUUUAGCAGUUAUAGAUAUGACUAUUUAUGUGCAGUCAGGCUUUACUUAAAAGGUGGAGUUGGUGAGCGGUGGUAUUCUCAGCAUCUCUCCUUCUACCUUCCUUAAAUAUAGGAUAUCUACAGGAGUUACAACUGGGAAAUAUGAUUUCUAUUUAUCCAUAGCAACGCAUGGAAAUACAGCUAGUCAUAGAAAACACACACAACUGAACAUUGAGUUCUGAAUUUUUGUACUGUUUCACCUGAGGGCAUUGCUAAGGGUUUACUCUACAUCAUCUGUCUUAAGUGGUGCUGUCAAACCUGCUUCCUUAAUAGUUUCUUGAGGAAGCGCUCAUGAAUCUUAGUGAGGAUGCCUCAAAAGAGCAAGUAAUCCUUCUACAUGCUAUGUGUAUAGGCUCGCUAAACAGCUAGCCUGCUAAACUGCUAUCAAGGUCCGCUAAACCUUUAAAUUUGGAUCUCUGUAUAGCGUGAAGAUAGACCUGUGACUAACUCAUAGUAGCUGUUAUCAUCGUCGCAAAGGCUGUUAUUUAGAACAUGUUACUUCCCUGUCUUGAUUUACCCUAUAUUUUGUUGUAUUGCACUACAUUAUUUGCUGAAUAUGUACAUAUGUUACACUUUGCAAUAACUUCGGCUAUAUUUGGUGCUGUAACAUUUAUCCCUUCGAAAGCGGCUAAUUAGUGACCUUUACCACCUGUAGCUUCUCAUACUCACCAUGGCUCUCUAAGUCUCUAUCAUAUCUUUGCUGCUUUAUGUUGAUAGUUUUGUGAGGUAUGAUCAGUUUUUGUGAGAUGGCUGCUUCCCUCCCAUAAUUUUCAGAGGAAGAUGGGAGCAGCCUUCAUAGCACCAUUUUUUGCCAUAUGUAGACAUUCCACUCAAGUUUUUUAUAUUGCUCUCAUUGCACCUUUGGUUACCAGGCUUACUUGAAUAGCGGUUAGGACAUUUUUUCUGCUACCUCGUUCAAUGCCUUCUCUUGGGAGAUGUGUCCAUUUUAGUUGGUGUGAAAUAGCUUAUUGACUGCAUUGGUGAUGACUGUUUUUCUUUGCUCGCAGAUGGAUAUUGAACCAACCCUUGCGCUUCCUUUCAACAUUCAAGAUAUCCUUUGUUUAGUGUUAUACCAUCAACUUUGUGUACUUUCUUAAUAAAUAUAGGACAACAUCUUACAUGUUACUUUGUUUAUAAAAUGUUUGGAUCUGUCACCUGACUUCACGUAUUGUAUUUGCCAUCAGAAGCAUGUGUAACUAGUGUUAAGUGCCACUUUCAACACUUGAGGAUAGAAAAGGACCAAAAUGGAUUUGAUGGUGGAGCUUGGUCUCUGGUCAGGUCCCAUGGGCAGGGGCAGGUAAGGCACGUGACAUGGCCGGGUUGUAGGUGAGCUCGGCCUUAGGUAGGGGCAAUGCUGCUGUCCUCAAAUCAAGUCAUGGUCAGCACUAUGUAAUCAUCGAAUAUGGGUAUUCUGAGCGGUGACCAUUGGAAGUGAAUCACAACACUGGUGACAUCUGUUUCAUGUGCGCCACUGCAAAAUACACAAGCAUAGGUGGCAGAUCCAACAUCUUUCUUGCAUACUUUAAGUGGCAUAUAAGAUAUAUUGCCAUUUGCGUGUAUGAUAUUAAAACAGUUGGAGCUUAUGGUUUUGAACCAAAAUGAAGGAAUAUUGAAGUAAGCUAACAAAGAGUGAGAAAAUCAAGAGCUAAAAAAUAAUUUAGAGUUAGGCAAAAGAACGAAAGAGACCAAAAACAGGAAAAGAGAGAACAUUUUGCACGAGGAGGUUAGUAUGUUUAUUUAGGUUCCAUCAAGAGACGUACUAGAGUCUUGACUUUGUGUUGAGGGGCAGAGUUCUAUAUGCUUGGGAAAAAAAAUUCUUUUGUUUUCAAAAAUCUUCUGAGGGAUCAUUCAGUUUAUCUGCCUUGCAUUAACAUUUUACUCUUAUCUCAACUCGUAUUAGCAACUGCCAUGGUGUAAUUAAGGAAUUUAUAUUAUUAUUUCUGCAUAAUUUAUGGGAAUCCUUUUUUUAAUCUUUCUGAAUUAUAUCCAUUUUUUAUUCCGGCGUGUCAGUAUCCUCAUCAAUCCACAACCUUGAUGUUUAGCUCCCCAACUGGUAGUCGGUUCCCUUUCUCCCGGAUCAAUGAAGAAGGGAGAAGUCAAUUGGUUCUUCCAAAAAAAUGGAAGCGAAGUGCUAUGCUGGGGUGAGGGUGUUGGUUAUUUCGGAAGUUGGAAUGACAAGCAACCCAGUAAUAGUACUCCUUUAUACUUCUCCAAUGUAAAUAAUUGUGCUCCCUGUCAAUGCAUUUAUUUUACACAUAAUUGCCUCUCGUACAGUACUGUGGUAAAAGAGAACACCAGCAAUAACAAUGACACCACCCAUAUUUUCUGAUAAUUUUAUGUACCCUUUUGUAUUUGGAGAUAGAACAAUGCAGUGGUGACAUGUGAUGGUAGUAUAAUUUGUUUGCCAUAAAUGACCCUUUAUGUUUAAAACUUGCUGUUCCAUUAUGACCUAUACUCUGUUAUUCUGACGUGGCUAUCCAUGAAUUUUCCUCGUAAGAGGAUGUCUUUGCAAAAUCUUAGAUAGUGUUCCGAGGAAGGAAAUUAUCUUCCUCAUUUCCUCAAGCAUAUCCUUGUUUACCUUAAUUGCCAUUUACCUGUCCCCAAGAAGGUUAACUGGGAAGACCACAUACCAAGGAAUUCAUCAGAGUGGGAUUCACAGAUGGCUGUGUGCAAAUUAUUUGACGAGCGUCCUGUGUGGCCAAGACAGUCACUUUAUGAACGUUUGCUUGAUGAUGGUGUGCAUGUGUCAACAAGCCAGUUCAAAAGGUAUCGUUGUUUUUUUAACUCCUGAAUCAUUUAGGCCUUUCGAUAUGUCUUAACGUCUUCCAACUAUCGUCUCUUCAUUCAUUUUGUUUCUUUUUGUGUGCUUGCUCAGCCUUUUGUUUAAAGCUGGAUACUACUUCUCUACUGGACCCUUUGGUAAAUUCUGGAUCAAAAAAGAAUAUGAUCCUCGUAAAGAUCCCGAGUCACGAAUGUAAGCACUGCUUUGUUGAACUAUUUGCUUAUUUGACAUUCAUUAAAUAUUCUUUUGAGAGUAGAGCCUAUUACUUAAAUGGUAAGGAAUGCUUCUGAUGUUUCUUUGUUCAGCUGCAAAUAUCAAUGACCAUAAAGUUAUCAUAUCUUGUGCAGAACCUAUGAAAUAUGAGCUACCCUAAAAAAUAUUAUUUGAAAUGCGAACUCCAUUAUCAAACAUUGACAAGUCUUAUCUUUCUGAACUACACUACAUUAGCCAAAUGGUUUUUUCCUUUACAGUUGAAUCAUUAGACUACUGCUAAAUUUAAGAGAAGGGAGAGUGCAAAUGCAAUUCUUUUAGUAUAUGGAUAAUGCGGUGAUGGGCUACUUAAUGAGAAAGUGAGAUGAGAAUGAAAAAUAUAUAUUACUAGAUUGCUUCUCAGUAAAAGUAUGUAACUGAAAUACAUCCUCUAAAACUUAUAAGGGUUACAUCUGUUGUCUGGGUGUUGGAUUGUUGGAUAGGUCUGGGUUGGUUUGGAAUUCAGAUCAGCAUAUCUCUAUCUCCUGUUGACCUGUUGUCCUGGCCCCACAACUUCUCUAUUCCAAGGUUAGUAACAUUGUUAGCAAUCAUAUUAGAACGGUACAACCAAGGUUAAAUUGUAGAAAAAACAAUCCAAUCAAGUAACAUCGAUGAGGAUGGGCUGGAUGCCGGUUCUGGACACCGACCUUAUUGACUGGUGAUCUUCUUGGGAAGGUGAGGGCCAACUCUCAAGGGACGUGAGAACUGUGAUCCUGCUCAUCUUCUGGACACUUUGAAGGCACUGAAACGACAUCGUCUUCAGCAACCCGACACCCGCGAGAGACGUGGUUCUGGGCGAGAUACGGGGGGAGGCGUGAAGCUGGUGGCUGGCUAGGCUUUUCCGUUCUACACUAGCCAUGGAGUUCACUGUAGAUAGGUGGAAUGUAAGCGAGUAGUCGGAUUAGAAGUCCGUUUGGCCUUCAUGCUUUGAGGGCGAUGUAGCCAGAAAAGGUCAAACAGGAGAUCUUGGCCUUUCUUCCCUGCUACUGAUGUGUCCGUCUGGAUGUAUCCUUGAAAAAAAAAGUAACAUCGAUGAUCAAAUCUACUUCCAAAAGAAUAGUUCAUCUAACUAGAGACAACAUCCAUCAUAUUCUCAGAAACCUUCUUUGAGGAGUUCCUAUCCUGAAAAUGUAACUUCUUCCAUGUAUGAGGAGAAGAAACUUUAUGAAAAAUCACGCUUUAGCUUUGCAGUCAAAUGUUAAAAUAACUCGGAGUAACAAACUUGUAAAAAAAGAGAAUCUCUUAGCUACAUUUCUUGCGACCAAAAUCUUUCUUUACCUAUGCAUUUCAUUCUUGUCUUGGAACUCUAUUUCUUGGCUAUUUUAGAAUCUUUUAAAAAUGAUGUUCUUGUGCUAGAUAUCAGCGGAUUGAUUUUCGCAUGCCUCCUGAGCUAAGGAAUCUUCAAACGAAAAGGCACGAUGGGUGAGUCAUAUAUUUCUUUUUGCUUGCAUUUCGAGCCAGUGUUAUAUCAUUGCAUUAUUUAAAAGAUCUGUCUCUCAACUUCCCCGUUGUUUCCUGUAUUAGUGUCUCGUUGUUAAAAAUACUUCGUAAUACUAUAUAGUUACUAGCCUUCUAUUACUGGUGAAAGAACUUGGUGAUCAAAAGUUGCACACUCUACUCCGUGCCCAUGUCCAAAAUGGGAUACACCUAGUAAAUGUCAUACCUUUUUUAAACCUCAUCAUAAAUUCCUGCCACACCUCGUGUGAAUCCAAUGGACGCCAGUGCCCACUGUAUAAGAUUUUAGUUGAAUAUAAGAUACUGAUGUGUUAGCACUUCAACUAAAACGUUUGUGUCCAUUUUUCAGUACCCAAAACAGUGAAUGUAUGUGCCAAUUCUUAACACUAGCCUGCUGAUUUGAGCAAUAAUAAACAUGUUUCUGUUACGUAGAUUUCUCAGAAGUACGUAGUAUUUCUUCACUGAAAUAGAUAAAUAUAUUAAUUUAGCUUGAUUGUGGGAAAAGGUGAACAUGGUAAUAGUAGGAGCUGUUCUGGAGUUAAGUUAGGUACUUGUUAUGGCGCGUGAAACUUCACGCUGCAAAGUUUUGUCAUAGUGAUAGUGACCAUAAUUGAUUCCACCAUCUAACUGCAAUUGGGUGGGACUUUGUAGAGGACUCGAUUGUAAUUAAAUGGUGAAACUUCUGUAAUGAGAAUUUAGGUCAUACAUCCAGGUGCAAUUCUCAAACACUACAUGUGCAUAAAGUGUUGAAGCUUCAUUACAGAUAGGAAAAUAAAAUUGGCUUUGGCAUAUUCUAGUUCUCCACCAAGGGUUUCUAUCAAAAUACUUCUGAACUGUAGAUGUAGUAAUGCAUGUUCCACUAUGAGUGUUUUCAAGGUUUUCUGUUGAACUACUGGGUCACUGGGAAGAACUAAUCCUAUAUACCUAAAUAAUUGAUCCCCACUAACUCUAAUUCUCUCAACAUACAACUAUGCCAAGUCACCAUGCCACCAUGCAUGGGAAAAGACCCACGCUAGCAUACACCAUGCAUGCUACUCAUAUUCAAUAAAUAUUCUACAACUAUAUAAUAAUUAAAUAAAAUAAUUAUAUGUACUUUAGUUUCAAUUCCAUAAUGUUAAUAUAAAUACUAAUGUUUCAUACUAUCAGAUCUCGUUGAAAUAAUUGCAUCCAGUUUCCGCAGCAACGCACGGGCAUCAUCUCUAGUAUGAGCACAACAUGAACCAUGUAAUAAUCCUGACAGUUUCCCAAUAUGGUGAACAAAUGCUUAGCUCUUCACUUUUAUUUGUGUCAAUCCAGUUGAACAUUUAUGGGGGCAAAUCUGCCGUAACAUAUUUAGUUCCUCACUUCAUAUCUCCAGAUUAUUCUGGUGCCUGGUGAUGUCAUUGUCUGUUCAUAAAUAAACUUGGGUUAUGAAUGGCUUUGUUUAAGUGCUGCUCUCUUUGAAUAAGAAGGCCUUUACAUUUGCUGCUUGUUCUUCUCCCCACUGCUUAUACAUUUUUUCUUUUCUUUUGACAUGUAAGAUCUGAGAAGUGGUCAGAGAUGUGCAAGCUUGAAAGGAUGCCAUCGAAAAGUUUCAUCUUCCUGCAAUUAUUUGAACUGAAGGAUGACUUCAUUCAAGCCGAAAUUAGAAAACCUUCUCAUCAAUCAACUUGCUCAGUGAGUAACUAAAUAUUUGUUUUGAUGCUUUUUUGGAUAGAAAGAACAUAAACAUUGUAUGGGCAUAACAUAUCAACUGUUACUUAUCUACUCGUGUAUCUGACAUGAAUUAACUUUUGUGGCAUUUUGCUGGCCUUCAGAAAUCUCACUGUACAAUCAUUGUAAGUGUCUUGUUGAGGGAAAGUGUCAGACUACGUAGUUUUUCUGUUGCAAGCAGCUCUGCUUGCGUACCUUCAUCGACCACUUUUAAUCAUACCAAGUUCCCCCAAAUUUGCUGUGAUCAUAAUCUGUGUAAUAAUCUUGAUUCGUUGCUUGUAACAACAUUUCUUUGCAUGCAUAAACUAACUAAUUCCUAUGUAGCAUUCGACAGGUUGGUUUUCUAAGCCAAUGAUUAAAAGUUUGAGGUUACAACUAUGCAUAAGGUUCCUCUCAUUAUGUCCUAAUGAAGAUGCCAAAACCCUUUUGAGAAGUUCCCAUCAACUUCUUGAAAGGUCCAAAAAGCAGGAAGCUAUUUGCAGAUCCGAGCAACUGAAGGAAAGAAAAGAUGUUGAUGAAGGUUUAGUCUCAUCUACUAGUCAGAUGCAUAUUUGUUCAAUACAUAUGGGCUCUGGCCGCUGGGUACCCUGCAGACAUAGUGUAUGGUUCGCGUUUCGCGAUUUGUAGACCUCUUACUGAGCAGUAUGAACUUGCUGCGUACCUGCAUCGUUCAAAACAAUUUUCAUUGAGCUAAUUAUAUACUGCUUCGAUGGCUCUAUUAAUCUAAUUUUGUGAACCAAGAUUCAUUUGGAGCUAUUCUAGGUUUUAGUACUUAUGAGCUCACGAGAAAUUCCAAAAAGGUUUAUAGUACUAGAACAUAAUAGAAAACUUGACCUGUGAGUACAAUAUUCUCUUUGUUUGCAGUGGACAUAUUAUCCACAUUCUAACUUGUUCUAGUACUAUGCUAUCUUUAAGGAAUUUGUAGAAAAUACCCAAGUGCACUGUCUAGCUUAUAAAUGCUUAUGAACAAGGUUCAUGUUUCUAUAUCCCAUUUUCGUGCAUGCUAGGUUUGUACUUCUGUUUGUAUGGGCUUUGAUACAAGUUCAGGUCAAUUGGUAGCUCGUGUGUUCGAUGAACAAAUGUUUGUUCUUCUUCCUAGAGAGAUACUUAAGCACAUCCAUACUGCUUGUUAAAUCCUAUUUAUUCUCCAGAAGCGCCUGCUGAACAUGUUGGAUCUGAGGAUCAGAUGGACACUAACAACUCUGAUAGUGAAGAUGCUGAUGACGAGGAAGAGGAAGAUAAAGAGGAAUCAGAUGGUUAUGAUUCUCCAGCCAUGGUAUGUGUCACUACUUGCACCUUUGGCCCUAUAAUAUGCUCUACAAUAACUAAUUGUUUACUAUAUCUAUGUAGGCCGAGGAUGUUCCUGAUUUCGCCUUACAUGAGUCCUGUAUCCUUAAUACAAUUCAUUUUGUGAAAUUUGAUUUCUCAUGGGGAAAAAGUACCAGGCUGUUGCAACUUUGUGCCCAUUCCUCUCUGUGCCUGACACUCAUUUUUUUUCCUGUAAGGAAGGUAGCAGUAAAAAUAUUACAAUAUGUUGGUUAACAAAGAGUACAAAUACAACAAGUUGUGCUACGGUUUCACUCACUUUCUGCAGCACUUAAUUCAUGACCUGGGGAGAAGGAAACUGGGCUAGUUCUGGUUGCUUAGCGUAAACUUGUUGAUUUCCCUUUCUUCUAAAUAUUUCAAAUGAGUUACCACUUCUGCUUAAUUAAUCGACGAGGCAAAUCUUUUGCCUCCGUUUCAAAAAAAAAGGGUUGCCAGAUUUUACAUUUUUGAGGUUGGAGUAACAAGUACUUAAGGUUGCGAUUACUAACCAAAGUUUUUUUCUCUCAAUCCUUGAGUCGGCUUUUACAUGGUUAAAAAACUUUUGCAUUGCAUUGAUUUUUUUCCCUUUCUCUUUUAACAUAUGAGUGUUCGAGGUUAUGUUGUCUGUUGUUUUCCUAUAAGAUGUAUCAGACACACUUGGAGAAGGCUUCUCCACUGGAUACCUUGAGGAGGUGUUGCGCAGCUUUCCACUGAAUGAAGAUGGCCAGAAUAAAUCAGGUGAUGCCCUUAAUAAUGGUGAAGCAAGUGAUGGGGAGUUUGAAAUUUUCGAACAGCCUAGUGACGAUGAAGAGUAUUCCGAUGGUUAGUGGGGCCUUUUGGGGGAGUGGCAAGAUAUCCUCAGGUUAAAUUUUAUGGGCCGUUGUCGACAGUACUUUGUUCAUUAGAUUUUAGGCUCUAAGCUUGUUUAGGAUUUCAUAGCAGGUUGUUUAGCUAUCUAUGGAGCUAGAUAUUUAGCCUUGUUAACAUGAUAUUGGAUGUCACUAGAAGCAAGUUCACUAUAAUUGUCCUGUCAGCUACUCCCUCCAUCCCAUAAUAUUAUGAUGUUAUUACAUCCAAUAUGCAUUAUGGGACUGAGGGAGUAUUUCUUUACUGCUUUGUAUUCUGGCCCGUGCGUUUUCAACGGAGCGUGGUUUUGUCGUAGUGUAUUGCAGUGUUCUUGUAUUCCGGCCCAUGCGUUUUCAACAGAGCAUGGUUUCGUCGUAGUGUAUUGCACUGUUCUUGUAUUCCGGCCCGUGCGUUUUCAACAGAGCGUGGUUUCGUCGUAGUGUAUUUCACUGUUGUGUUCGUUACUGGUGUACUCUCUGUGCUGCCAGAUUACUACUCUAAGAAAAACUGUGAAGGUUGCUUCCAGUUUGACACGAUUUCUACACGGGAGCUGCGACGCGAGUCCAUAACUCCACGCUGAAAAUUGUGCUGGAUAUUGGGCGCAACAUUUCCAAUGCGAUAUAUGGGGUGCAUCUAACUGGGGCAACUAAACUUGCCUGGGAAGUUUACUCAAAACUCGCAAAAUCUUGGUAAAACGAUCAGCGUCAUCCCAUCAAUGUCAAAUAGAUGUGUACACUCCUGGAACCUAGACCAGCUACUUGUGUUCACCAGCAAUUCAUCAAACAACCUUAAAAGCGCAUGAAGUACAGACUAGUCGUAUUUCACCAUUCUAGGCGAUCGUUUUCCAUUGGGUUUCCGAACACAUGUCAUGACUUCACUUCCGCGGUACAUCUCAAUAAAACAUCAAACAUAACAUCCAUAAAUAAGCCGAUCACCAAGCAAACUAAGGUGAUAUUUUGCAAGAGAAUGAUAAUCUAGUCACUGUCCCAUGUAUCCCUUUUUUAUUAUCUGAGCUCCUCGCACAAAAAAUUGGGUAUUCAUAUGUUCGGUGUUUCUUCUUUGUGCAAAGGAUCCAAAUAGGCAAGUGCAUUUUACUAUGUCCUCGAAGGUGUUCCAUAGAUAAGCAAAAAAAGGGUUUCAUUUUGGAUUCCCCAAUUUUGAAAAAUUGCAUAUUAAUUUCCUUCCGCGGUACAUCUCAAUAAAACAUCAAACAUAACAUCCAUAAAUAAGCCGAUCACCAAGCAAACUAAGGUGAUAUUUUGCAAGAGAAUGAUAAUCUAGUCACUGUCCCAUGUAUCCCUUUUUUAUUAUCUGAGCUCCUCGCACAAAAAAUUGGGUAUUCAUAUGUUCGGUGUUUCUUCUUUGUGCAAAGGAUCCAAAUAGGCAAGUGCAUUUUACUAUGUCCUCGAAGGUGUUCCAUAGAUAAGCAAAAAAAGGGUUUCAUUUUGGAUUCCCCAAUUUUGAAAAAUUGCAUAUUAAUUUCCUUCAUAUGAACAGAAAAAUAUGAUGACUCAAAGAAGUCCUCUACUAGAAACUUCGUAUAUUGUACAUGACAUGACUUAGCAAAAGAAAUUAAGAUAAAGAUCGUCGGGAUAGCAAUAUUUUCCAUCUGGGUAUUACUCAUGUCAAGAGAUUAUUUAGACAAUUAGCAAAAGAAAUUGUAUGGCUGAAUUGCAAGAAAUCUACUAUAAAAAGGAAAGAAUGUGGGAAAAAAUUAGCAAAAGAAAUUGUGUGGCUGCUGGGAUUCGAGCCCAGGUCUCCACGGCCACAACGUGGAAUUCUCACCACUAAACUACAGCCACAAUCAUGUGCAAUUUUAGCGGGAACCCUCUCUACACACUUUCUUCUGUUGAUGUCACACUACAUAGGCCCGUGAUAAAACCUAAUUAGAGCACGAGUAUUUCCCACUAAAAAAUAAACCUAGGGUCAAAUUGUUGGCAUGUAGACAAAAAAAUGCUAAAACCUAGAGAACGAGUGUUUCCCACAAUUUUUUUAACAUACUUAACCACUAUCUUAAUACCUAUAAAUAAACUAGAGCAUGCCACAAGUCACCAAAGAGCAGACUAUAGACGUACUCCCUCCGUCCCAUAAUAUAAGACGCUUUCUGACACUACAGUAGUGUCAAAAAACAUCUUACAUUACGGGACGGAGGGAGUAGUUGUGAAGCCGAGGACACAAUGUGUGCACUGAAGGCCGAUAGACAAGCCAACAUAUUGAGGCGGUUUUCGCAAAAUAAAAAAUAAUUGAGGUGGUAACAACUGCUUAAGGUGCUCAAACAAUUAGAGUAGGAACAAUGCAAAAAAAAAAAAUUGAGUAGCAACGGAUAGUAGGGGAAGGAACAAUGCAAUUUUUUGCUUUGAACAUUAAUUGAACUGCGAAUAGCAGCUUAUUUACAUCAGCAUUUGUCCUUUUUUCUUCAAAUUCAGACUUGUAAUUUGGGCUGCCCUAUAUACACCUUGUAUAUCGCUCAAUUGCACCUAAUUGCAUGGCACUUACUCCCACCACACAGCCGGCCAUCAUCUACUAAAACAACACCCUAUCGUUGACUUCCCUAAUGUCCAUAGCAAUGGGUCUCAAUCUGGGCUACGAUAUUAAUUAAAUGUAUCUCUGGUAAAUAAAAUGUUCUUUACAGAUUGUCUUUGCCUUGUAAAUGGAACCUUAUUUCCCAUAUUUCAUCAUCCAAAGUAAAAAACAAACUUUAGUAAAAUAGCAUAAUUAUUUGCUACACCAAUCCCAUAAUUAGUAACACACCUGAAACAGAUAAACUAGUCACUAACAUCCUUGAUAUCAUGUUAAGAAAUACUCCCUCCGUCUGAGAAAACUUGUCCCAAGCUUGUCCCUCAAAUGGAUGUAUCUAGCAUUAAGUUGGUGCUAGAUACAUCCAUUUAAGGGACAAACUUUUUCGGACGGAGGGAGUACAUAUAUAAAUAUAUAAGCUUAUUUAACACCAAUUGUAACAGCUUCAAUGUCAAGCAUAUAAAAACCAAGAUCUAAUUUCCGACAUACAUAUAUGUUAAUACUAUACGCAGAUAAACAUAUACUCCCUCUGUAAAGAAAUAUAAGGUCUAAACGCUCUUAUAUUUCUUUAGAGAGGGAGUACUAUGGAAAUAACUAAUUUCAGAUAACAUGUUCAAAAUGAACAUAUAUAUAAUUUGAUUAAUCCCCAAUUUUAAAACACUAACACUGAGCCCAAUUUUAGAGAACAUUCUCAUCCCAUUGCACUAGAACCCUCUGUACAGAGGACAUGUUCAUCCAGUUUCAGAGAACCUUGUACAAACAUGACAUGUUCAUCUAAUUUCCCCCAUAAUCUUCCCAAACCCUAAAUCUCUAUUUCUCCUAUUACCCUGAAAUCAAAAUUAAAAAAAAAAGACAGAGAGGAAAGAGAGAGGAGUUGGACUUACAUGCCUGCCGCCAAGUGGGGAAGCCCAGCUGUGGUCGCCGGUCGGAUCAACCACAACCACUCUGGCCAAAGACGUCACCGCACAAUAUACGGGGGACGACUAGAGCGGUUCAAAGGUGUUUCAUAGAUAAUUUUUCGUUCGGGUAUUAUACUCAUGUAAAGAGAUUAUUUAGACAAUUGGAAGGAGAAGCAAAAAGAAACUAACUUUUCUUGAGCCGUAAAAAAACCACUAACUAGACAUGUUCUAUUGUGGCCAUAUGGGCAACAUAUCUCUUUAGCCUUUUCAAUGAUCUUAAAGGCUCCAAAUCUCUAAUAAGCUUGUCACGGUGCCUGAGUACUUGAUAGGAAAAUGUCCCUCAAUCCACUCUUGUUUUUUUUGGAAAAAUACUCUUUUUAUAAUUUAUUCUCAUCAUAGAAACUUGCUCAAAGCAGGUUAAAAUCCAUUUCAGAUUAAUAGCAACUGAGAUUUUUUGCAUGAAAAAGAAUAAUCUAAUCAUCUGGCAGUGCAAGAAGAGUACUGUGAAAAAGAAAAAUGUGAGAAUAAAAACCUAGCAAAAGAAUUGUGUGGCUGCUGGGAUUCGAGCCCAGGUCUCCACGGCCACAACGUGGAAUUCUCACCACUAAACUACAGCCACAAUCAUGUCCAAUUUCGAGCUUCCAAGUUACAAGUAUGCAAAUAUCUCUUUCAAGACCUUCUUUACACACUUUCUUCUGUUGCGACGUGAGGUUGGCAUUUAGACCAAAAAUGCUAAAAUCUAGAGAAACAAAAACAAACUUAACCACUAUCUCAAUACCUGUAAAUAAACCAGAGCAUGACUGCAUGCCACCAUGCUUGGCUCCAGCUAUUCAGCUUUAUAUUCAGCUUCUUUUAAAUUUCAUACCACUGCGCCAUUCCCAGCUUACUCUCUUACUCUGUUUUGAUUGACGCCUUGAGCUUCAGCCUACAAAGGGAAAAGGGAAGUAAGAUAUGUGGUUUAUCUAGUUCAAAAUCAAAAUGAUCAUAAAUGCUACAUUAUUCCAUUCACACACACACACACACACACACACACACACACACACACAAAUUGUGUGAUUGUUCCUGUAAAAAAAGAUAGCAAGUGUGCCAGCUCACUGAGGCCUACAUUAUAUCCAUCAUUUGACUAUAUGUAUGAUAUUAAAAAUAGGGGCAUAUUCAGGGACUAUUUCUUGACUAUUUCUAACUUAAGAAUAUAAUUUUGUCAAUACAUGAUAUUUACCUUAUAUGGGAACAAAGGUUUUCACCUGAGCAUCCGCUUCUUGAAUAAUUCUGUCAGCCUAGAUGUCUAACAUCUGAUAGAGGAGCACCCUCUACCAUACCACCUAGAGGUAAAAGUAAGUAAAUAAAAAUCCUAAUGCAUGGCAAAAUUCAGAAGAAAGCAAAGUCUAGCCUUUACCACUUCACGUUGACUCCCACGCCAAUGUCAACUUGUCAAGUAACAACAGCGCCUCUAUCUCCAAGUUGUUAACUGAAAGCCCAGCGAAUCAAAGUUCUGAAGCGAACUGACAAAGCAACAGAAGUUAAGAGGAACUUUGAUUCGCCAUCAUAAGGUAUGUAUAACCAUCUUACCACGCCACAAAAUUCAUCAUGUAGCAAAAUCUAACAAACCUAUUCAACCGCGGUACCUCGGUCAAAGUUAUGCAAGUACACACAGAAUGAAGCACGAAUAUAUGGAAGUUUUUGUGAGAAUAAUAUCCAAAGAAACAUGAAGCACUAAUAUGCAGAUUUUCAUGACCGCAGUCUGCUAAGUAAAACAGUGUGAAUAACAACAUACUCAAAUGACUCCAAUGCAUACAGAAAUCGCAAAUGCAAUACCGCAGAGAUCACAUUCCCCGCGCUUGCUGCUGCUUCCCAGCUGCAUGACGCCCGUCGCCUUCCAUGGUUCCUCGCUUGAGGCAUCCUCCUCCGCCAGCGCCAUCCCUUUUGAACUCCUACUGCUUAAAUAGCAAGUACUCCACGUUCUACAAUAAAAAUAUAAAGUGCAGGUUCAGGACUGAUUUAACUCUUCUUUACAAAAAUAAUAGUGAGGGAAGGUGCGAGUGUCUGAGUGAUAUAACACACAUAUAUUAACGAUCAGUGCGAUAAAUCAAACGGGUGUGAAAGGGACCAUUAUUUAAUUUUCCAAUAUGAAUUUCCUAAUACAAUGUUGCAAGUCCUGAUUACAGUUUCACCUUCAAGACCGAACAACCGUGGCCAAAUUAUAGAUAGAUUUAACAUAUUGCACAGUCGCUGAUAACUAAUCAUCCUGCAGGAGCAAAUCACAUGCAAUUAGUACAGCUAGAUUGCAAGAAAUGUACUGUUAAAAAGAAAGAAUUUGAGAAAAAAAACACUGAAAAGAAAUUGUGUGGCUGCUGGGAUUCGAGCCCAGGUCUCCACGGCCACAACGUGGAAUUCUCACCACUAAACUACAGCCACAAUCAUGUACAAUUUGAGAUGCCAAGAUACAAGUGUUAAAAUUGAGGCGCCGCUCUAUGCCGAUAGACAAGCCAACAUAUUGAGGCGGUUUUCGCAAUAAAUAAAUAAAUAAAUAUUGAGGCGGUAACAUAGCUUAAGGCGAGCAAACAGUUGGAGCAGGAACAAUGCAAAUUAUGCUUUGAACAAUAUUUGAACCGUGAAUGGCAGCUUAUUUACAUCAGCAUUUCUCCCUUUUGCUCCAAAUUCAGACUUGUAAUUUUGUUCUCUAAAAAUCGCUCGACUGCACCAAAUUGCAUAGUCCCACCACACAGCCGGCCAGAAUCUACUAAAACAGCACCCUGACGUUGGCCUCGCUAAUUUGCGACCUGUGUAUAAACCUGAUCUCAUCUUAUAUGCUUGGAUGGAUAUGAAAUGCCAACUUCCUAAUACAAUAGAUUUGCUGGUAAAUCUUCGUCAAUCUGACAGUCACAUCCCACUACUUCAUAAGACUAUCUGGUCAUAUAUAGUCUUACCAAACCGCAAUGUAUAUGGUUGAAACGGGCGGUGGUACACUGCAGAAUACAGAUCAUGGGCUACCGGUGUCAGCAACGCAGCUCCAAGCAGGCACCUUCUGCGCAUCCAUCACUGCCAUCGAGCGUCUAAUAUGCUCCACCUCACGCCAUCUAUCACCACUGCCUGCUUGCACAUUACUAUACACCACAUGGUAGCCAACAUUAUCUGGUUCCAACUCCAUAAGUUUCUGAGCUGCAAGAGAUGCCAGCUCGACAUUCGAAUGCGUUCUGCAUGAUGCAAGGAGAGCACCCCAAAUUCUUCCAUCUGGCUUAACAUUCAUGCCACUGAUCACCUGGACGGCUUCAUCUAGGUCACCCGAACGGCCAAGGAUGUCCACCAUGCAAGUGUAGUGGCUUAGCUCCGGUGUGAUGCCAAACUUCCUAACCAUGCAAUCAAACAAUGCACGGGCUUCACUAACAAGCCCUGAGUAACUACACGCUGACAGCAAGCUCAGGAAGGUCACUCCGUUUGGCAUCACUCCUUCCGCAAGCAUUUGGUCAAACAAUGCCAGAGCUUCCCUGCCAUUGCCAUGAAUCGCGUACGCUUCAAUCAUUGAACUCCAUGCGACGAUGUCUCUCUGCUGGAUGUUGUUGAAGCACCAUCGUGCCAAAUGGAUGUUCCCGCAUCUAGCAUAGAAUUUAACAAUGGAUGUCUCCAAGUAACAAGUAUUCUCAUAUUGCGCACCAGCAUGGCUGUUUCGUAUGAUGUAUCCAUGAGCUGAUUUACCUAGCCGUGAAGCACCUAAUUCCAUGUAACUGAUGACCAGCCCUUGAAGCAUGUCAGCGUUGAUAGCUAGCUGAGAGUUCAGCAUUCGCCCAAACAGAUGGACUACUUGUAAGAACUGCCCAUGGUGGAUGAGAGCCCACAUCAUGGCUGACCAUAUGCAGCUGCCUGUUCCCCUGAAUUCCUCAAACAGCUUGGCGGAAGAUUCCAUUUCACCGCAUUUAGCAUAAAAACCCAGAAAGGAUGCCACCAAGACUGGAUCACUAAGCCCACUCCUAAUCACGAAACAAUGGAGCCUUUUUCCUUGCUCAAGACACCUGUGCUUGGCAAACGCAGCAACCAGGGCAGUUAAGGUCUGGCAGGUUGGACACACUUCCUCUCUUCUCAUCCUCUCAAACAUGUCAAUGACUUGACCAACGUUCCCCUGCGAUGAAAACUCCGAGAUUAUAAUGUUCCAGGAAACCGCAUCUCUUCCUCCCGGAGACAGCUCGAACAGCCUCACCGCGUCGUCCAAGCCAGUCGUCAUCCUGCUCAAGUGCGUCAGUAUUGAGUUGAGAACCAGCGGCUCUUCGCUUAAACCGCUCUUCAUCGCAUAGCAGUGUAGCUGUCUCCCCCCGGGAAUGCCCCUCUCGGCAGUACACAGACGAAGCAGGACGGCGAGCGUCACCGCACUCGGCUUGCACCCGUCCAUCCGCAUCUUGGUCACCAGUCCGGACACCUCCCUUCUGUCGCCUGUGCCAACGUAGGCAGAUAUCAGCGAUGUCCAAGAAACCACGUCCCUUGCAGUCAUUUCGUCGAACAGCUGCCGCGCGGAGGCGACCGCGCCGUGCCUCACGUAGGCGUCGACGAGGGUGUUGCAGAAGUACAGGUUGAGGGCGAAUCCGGUCCGGACGCCGACCGAGUGGGCGGCCCCGACGAGGCCAGCGACGGCGAGCGAGGCCGCCGCGCGGUUGAGCAGCGGGAGCGUGAAGCCGUCCGGGCGGGCGCCAGCGCGGAGCAUGGCGGCGAAGGCGGAGACGGCCGCCGCCGGGAGGCCGGAGUCGAGGCGGUCUCUGAUGGCGGCGUUCCAUUGGGGGGCGGUGCCGCAGGCGGAGGUGGCCGGAGGCGGUGAGCCGGGGAGAAGGAGGCAACGCUGGGCCGCCGUAGGUAUCAGCGAAGCGGGUGUUGGACGAAAUGCGGAAUAGGAAAAAGGAGCCAUCUUUGAGUAGGAGUCCGACGUCGGUCCGUAUCCACGAGCCAGGCCCGAUAAAUAUACAAGGAAAAGGCAGAAGCUCUCGACCUCCUCCGGCUGCAAUCUUCCGAUCACCCGAACCAUGCUCGCCGGCGCGAUGGAGGAUGACGGCGGCCACGCCGAGACCCGCCGCAAGCGCACCCGCGGCACCCCGCCCGGCCUGAAGCGCCCACCCCCGCCCCGCGAGGAAGGCGACCCCUACGACGAGCUCCUCGACUACGACUCCGACACGUACGAGCACCGCUGGAAGCGCCGGCGUACGUACAGGCUCAGCGAGUGCGUCUUCUUCGGCAACGGCAAGUACACCGGGCGGCCGGCCGGGGAGGUGGCCAGGGACUGGGAGCUCAUCACGGCCGAGCGCCGCCGCUUCUUGUCCAGCGACGAGCCUCUGCGGCUCAACCGCCGCCCCCGGUUCGCCGGGCUCGGCAGCGUCGAGGAGCGCCCGCCCAUCUAUCGUCAGGCGGCCUUGACUAAUGAAGGAAGCGAUGUCGGCGUUGGUUCCAGACCAUUAGCAUCUCCAACUCCAAGGCAGACACUGUUGCGGAUUCUUCAAAACUACAUCCAAUUUCUAGAACAGUGUCGUGUGCGGUGAUCUAUAUUUCUGUAGACAUUGUUGCUGAUUCUCUCACUAUACUAGUAAUGUAGGAAACGUAUGUCCCAGUCCUCUAUGAUAUGUACUGGUGUUUUGUAUAGUAGUAAUAAGGAGUAUAUAUGAAAACAAGUAUUAGUAUAUUCAACCGAUCGAUGAAGAUGUAUAUUCAUCCCCAAGAUAGAGUACAUAUUCUCGAUUGUACAAGGUUUCUGGAACAGUGUUGUUUGCCCUGAUCUAUGUUUUUUGUUGUCUGUUUUUCUUUCUGCUGGGAAAUACAUUUUGGAGCACCUCUGCAACUGUACACAUUGUUGCUGAUUCUCUCACUAUACCACUAAAUGAAGGAAACCGUAUGUCAAGUGUGCUAGUCUGUCUGUCUCUGUUUCUAUGAUAAGGAUGGCAAUGGGUCGGGUUUGGAUCGGUUUGAACAAUAUCAAAUCUAUAUCCACGUCCAUGAAGACGGUCUUUGCCCGCCCAUGGAAAAAAUCCAUGGGUGAAAAAUUGUGUCCAUGUCCAGACCCGAUGGAUAUCCAUACCCACUGGAUAUCCAUUGGGUCCUCUCGAGACAUAUAAAUAAGACAUAACACAAUGUUAACAUAAGUUCUUCCAUUCUUCACCUCGUGACACAGGCUAGGCCUCACUUAUGGUAAACAUGAACUUAUGGUAAAUCAACGUCCACUAACAAUCAAAGAUCAUUUACUAUUUUUCUAAUAGAUGAGAAUGAUGAGUCAUUUAAGAAGGAGAUAAAAGAAGUAUGGGAAGGGGUAUUGGAGUAUGUUACGGAGGCGAUUGAAUGUCAACUAAUAAAAGUUAUGACGGAGGUUUUAUAUAACAAAGUGUAAAAUUGCAGUGGGACAUCUAACUGUGGCGCAGGGAUAGUAGAUUUUUGCCCAUUAAGUCAUACUAUCGGGUCGGUUUGGGUAUACCCACGGGUACAAGAUUAUACCCAUACCCUACCCACGAGCAAUCGGGUCGGGUUUGGGCGCCACCCGUGGACACAAAAUCAUAUCUAAACCCUAUCCAUUCGGGUCGGAUAUCCAUGGGUAUCCAUGUUCAUGGGUAAAAUUGUCAUCCUUAGUAGAGAAAAGAGAUACCUCCCGUGCAUGGGUCCCAUGCAUGGUUCAAUCUCUCUUCCCCAUUCCCUCUUACACUGUACAUUUAAUUCUCCACUAUCCAUGUCAUUUUCAUAAGAUUUUAAAGCUUGAAUAUAAUUUAUGCAUUGAAUUAAAAGUUUAAUUUAUGAUCCGUUGGCAUAUUUGUGUUCCUUGAAAUUAAUACUUUGAAAUAAGACCGCUCUUGAAUACAUUUUACAAGAAAAUACCCUGAUACACAUAGUUGUAGAUGGACCUGAUAAAAUGGUUUCCGGGAAAAAAUAGCAAUUCACGAAAAAAGUCAAAAAUCUUGGAAACUUUUUUUCAAACAAGCUUAACCUACUGCCGUACUCGUAUAAAAAAUUUGACAAAGAAAAACUCCUGCAAAAAAUUUGAGCAAAAAGACAAUUUACCCAGGGCAAUAAGUCUAAUGUAGUGCUGAUUUUGUUUUCUUGCCAACAAUACCUCGAAAGUUAUUUCUUUGCAAAAAAAAAUUUACACGAGUGCAACACUUGAGCAAGCAAAAAAGUAAUAUGAUUUUUCAACCAUUUGUAAAUUGAUUAGUUUGUAAAAAAACUGGUGCACCUACCCAUAUUUUUUAAUUCAAAUUUGAAACCUUGUCAAAAUAUUCAAGAUUGGUUUCGUUUGGAAGGCUUCAAUAUCAGAAACACAAAUGUGCAAACAAAUCCUAAAUCUAAUUUCAUGUUCAAAAGAUAAAGUCAAAAUAUUAGAUUGAUACAAUAUUUAAAUCAUAUGAAAAAGUAUGGGUGAGUUGUACUGUUUGGUACGAAUCCCAGUGCAGCUACCAAUGGCUCGACCAUGCACGGGACCUCCCAUGCACGGUAGUUAAUCCGCUCUCAACUCUCAUGAUAUGUACUGGUGUUUUGUAAUAAGGAGUAUAUUCAACCGAUGGAGAUGUAUACAGUAUACUCAUCCACAAGAUAGAGUACAUAUGUGCAUCAGGAGGAGUAUAUAUUCUCGAUUGUACAAGUGCAAAAGAAACACCAUGUACGUACCAUCCACAUGGAUGUGAUGUAUGUUUGGACUCGAAAUAAACUGAAGUUGACUAAAUAUCAGACGUGUCGACCGUUUCAAAAGUAAAUAAAUAUCGGACGUGUCGUUACAUACAUCCAACAACAUCAACAAACAAGAUUCCAAAUCAUAUGAGUCCAUCACGAGCACACCGCGCCAUCAGGCCAAACAAGCCGCUGUAGUCGAACACCACCGGAGCCGGCCGCAACGAUCCAUCAUGCCGAUCCAUGGACUGGAGCCCUGGUGGGAGGACUUCAAUUGACACACUAGGCACGUAAAAGAAGCACAUGUGGCUGUCAAAGACUGAUGUAUCUUGGUACAGUAUUUUGUUGUCCACUAAUGCUAUGUAGUCUGUAGCUUGUUCGAGUCCCUGGGAGAAUUCUGUGCGAACCAACGUCACGCGCGAAUGUUGCAAGGGGGGCGCGCGUGUCACCGCAAGCUGGCACCACGACGAGUGCUUCAACAAGCUGCCACCAUCUUCGCCGUUUCGCAGUUGCAGGGCUGCCCUCGCCGCCGCAACAAUGCAACCACCAUGCUCCGCUGCCGUUGCAGCAACCACCGUAUUGCCAGGCUCGCCACCACAGCAAUGCAACCACCAUGCAACCACCAUGCUCCGCGGCCGUUGCAGCAACCACCGUGUUGCAGGGCUCGUCACCACAACAAUGCAACCCACCAUGCUGUAAGGCGCCGUCAUAGCCAUUACCUCUGCUCCGAGUUGCAACCCUCAUUGCAACUGCGACCCUAUAUCUACGACGGGGGAACACGUGUGCGUUGUGUAGGUGGAGACGAUGAAGGGGCAUGGAGUGUGGUGGAAAGCGUGCAUGUGGGGACUUUUUGUUGCGGACCGAGAGAUUCAAUCAGACGGCUUGCGUGAGCGACCAGACGAGGGAUCUGCAGGCUAGUGCCUAGCACACUCCUUGUAUGAUUGCGUCACAUGAAAAUGAAAGAAAUUUUCCAAUAGGCUGGAGUGGAUUUAUUGUGGAAUGUAGUACAAAUAGUUUUCUUUAUAGAAAAGAGAUAUCCUAUAGGAUCAGUCCUAUGAAUAAAACGUUCAACGUAUGAAAAAAUCCUAAGGAUUUUAAUCCACCAAAAAUCCUUUGAAUCAAGAAAAACACUUAUAUGCGCUUGACUGAUUUUAGUUGUUGCGUCAAUCGUCUCCUGCGUAUGACACACGACCAAUGGUCCACCCAUCGCUUUUCCCUUGUCUCGAAUCUUUUCUACCCAGUCGUCUUCCCUUGGCCCCCAUCUUGUUCUGCUCACAACUCUACCACCUCCUGUGUAUGCAGCUUCUCCAGCACUCACACGAAGCCCCUACAAGACUCUGUUGCUGGCUUCUGCAAAGGGGGACGCAUUGCCUCUGCAUGGCUGCUCGUUGGGUCACUGUUGAGUGGCAUCCUUUGGUGCUAGGGCAUGUACCAUCUGUCGUGGACCCUGCCUUGCUGGGGAAACUCCCUCAACUCCCACAGUCACCGAUGUCGACGUUGUGAGCCGGUGCUGCCAAUGGAGGCCGCAGGCGGGGGUCGCGUGAUACUGCUUUGCAACACCACCGGGACGGCGGCAGCUGCAAACGGGCUGCGAUGAGCUAUGACCAUAUGCUACGAGUCGGAGGUAAUGCUGCGAACUCGGGGCGGAAGAGCUGCAAGCACAUACUCUGGCGGACGGCAGGGGCUGCGAAGAUGGGGGGCGGUGAUGUGAAGGGGGCGUUAUUGAGCCGCUAGUGAGCCCCUAUUGCAGUGCUGCCGCGUGCCGCGAGGGCGUCGUCAAGGACCACUGAUGUUGUGAAGCCGGUGCUGCAAGGCCCACUGUUGUUGUGCGUUGGUGCUGUGAGGCCUGCUGAUUUUUCGAGGCACUGCCAGCAAGGUGGUGUUGCGAGGCGCUGGAUGUUGAAAGGCAGUAUUGUGAGGUGCGCGCCAGCGAGACAGUACUGCGAGGGCCGUCGGCCUGCGAGUCAAUGUUGCAAGGGUCGUUGAUAUUGAGAGGCGUUGCGUGUGUGUGGGAUUCGGGAGCAUGACGAACGAUUGUGAUGAUAACAAUCCAACGAUUGCCGAGGUGGCUGGUAGCCCCAUCUACUCCCUUUGUAAUAAACAACGACACUUAUUUUAGGAUGGAGGAAGUAUAAUUCAGCCGGCUGACACUAUAGUAGGCGCUUUUUUUAUUUAUAUUUUGAAAUACUAUAGCGCCUUUGAAUCAUUGAGAGAGGUCGGAUUUGGAUGAUAUCAAGACGAGUCCUACUCGGUACGUAUCCAUGAGCCAUGCUGGAUAAUAAAAUGCACACCAGAAGCUCUCCCUCCGUUUGCAAUCUUCCUAUUCUGAACUAAAACCCCAAACCCUAAUCGCCAACGCCAUGGAGGAGGACAGCGACCGCGCCAAAAACACAGGUCCGGGCGACUGUUUACCAAAAACACAGGUCUUCGCAAAGUCGUAAGACCAUGUAUGGGGGCUGACGCCUGCCCAGUGUUGGAAGGUCAAGGAAGUUGAUGAACUGAUGAAGUGUGGUAAUCUUUCUCGCUUUUGGAAAAUGUUGCCUUGCUUGCCCGCGUCUAUGACUAUGGAACAUAUAGGAAGGCAUCACUGUCCGUCGCAUUACCAUCGACGGGCCGGUCGACCCGUUCGUCAGUGGUGAGCCUUGUGGGAAAUUUAAUACUGUAACUGGUAGUCACACCUUUGUUAAUGCCGUGGAUGCAAAUGAAGCCCUCCCAGCGCUUGGCCCUCGUCCUCGACAAUGCAUGCAUGGCACCUUUCGCGUCAAAACUGGAUUCAUGAAUGCCAUCUCACUACGCUACAUCAUUUAUUUAUUUUUGAUCAGAGAAGCUCCGAUUUUCAUUAAGGGAAACCAACAGCGAACUAGAAGAACCAGCUAUCUUACAAAGAUAAAACAUUACGCUACAUCAUUACCAGUAGCAUGCUAUGAUCAUCGAUGUGCUUCAUGAACUCUACGCAGACGAGCCUUCCUCUGACAUGGCCUCUGGCCGGAGCGCAGCAAGGUCCUCUCGCUUGGCUCCAAGAUCAGUGGCAAAGCAUGUUGGCUUCCUCCAACAGUUGGCACCAUUAGCCUCAACAACAUUUAGACGACUACUGCCCUACUAUGUGAAGGCAGAACUAGUGAGGCACUCACGGAGGGCAGGCUCGACGAUGGCAUGCUAGAGUUAUUGGAAGACAAGCCCCACAUGCCAGCGGAGCUGUUGACUAUGGAUAUAAUGUGGUGUUGAACAGCUGAAGCACCACUAGCACUAGGCAGUGUUCCCUCCUAGCGGCCACCAUAUCACCACCCUUGUUGCCCGCCGACGACACAGUGCUCAUGGUGCAGCCGAUCUUUCUCGAGUGACCUACCCGGCCCGCAUUAUAUAGUCAGGCAGACGUCUACCCUAGCCGUCGCUGCAUCGUAUCGUUUCGCACCACCGUUCUAGAGCAUUGUGCCGCCACGCAAGUCUUCUCCAUCCCUCCUUCCGGCGUGCACCGCGAGAAGGGACAGCAGUCCUCCGGAACCCCGCCUCUCGUGAUCCUGUACGGAAGAGGGGCGAUCAGGUUUUUGGGGAGCGCACUCGCGCGACUGCCGGCAGCGACGACUUCGCCAACGACGACUUCUUCCCCGACCUCGGCAACCUCAUCCUCAACGACAUGGGCGACAACAUCGACGCCGGCGGUGCUGCUCCCGCUGCACCAUAUGUGAUUCUAUCCUUCCUGUCCGAGAUCGUGGUAGAAUUCAUGUUUCUAGUAUGUGCCCUAGAUGUGAUCCGUUCAUCUACUAUGCUAGUUCGCAUGAUUAGUUUCCAGUAUCUUUCUAAAAAGGUUGUUAAAAAGAUACAAGAUUUUUAAUCAUAAAAAUAGAUUUUUUUUGUCUGGAAAAGAACAUUUUUGUAUAGUCUCCUUUGGACGCAGGUACUUGCGCUCCUAUUUCAUCACUAUUUCUUGCCAUACAUGUCAUGGUAUUGAUCCCUGUUUUAUUACUAUUUAUAUCUUAUCAAACUUGUCUUUUAUUUUAUUUUUUGUCAUGCAUGCCUCCUUUUUACUUUUUUUCAUGCAUGUCCUCCUUUUCUUCUUCUUAUAUAUGAGAAUAGCGCAACAUCUCAUCUUUAUCGGACCUCCUCUGCAUUUUCUCUUUUAUUUCUUUUGUAGUGGGCAUCCCAUCUUUAUUGGGUCCUUCUUUUAUUUCUUGUCACGCAUGUCCUUAUUUAUUGGGUGUCUCUAGCAAAUUCCUCUUCAAUUUCAUGUCCAAUCCUGAUUUUGCCGAGGUGUUCAUCCCCAAUCUGAAUCAGUAUCGGUAUGAAAAAAAGACAGAUAAUGCAUUGUUGAUUAACAUUGCAGCCUAGAUAGUAUUUUUAAAUUUUUAACAUGUAAAAUAACAUCAUAUUCAGAUUCUACAUAUUUUUCUAAUCAAAUUCCAUAUAUAACAUGUUAAAUUUGGAGUUACGGUUUAGAAAAUAUGAGUAUUUUAAAAAACAUUUGAUAUGUACUGUGGGUUUAAUGUUAGAAAUAUUAUGGGGUUUUUUCUAUAAAAAUAGCAAAACGGACUAAGAAUAUCUAUUUCUUUUAUUUGUCAAAAAAGAGAUUGUAGUUCAUGGUAAUUGUUUCUAGGUAUGUACUUUUUUUUAAGUAAAUUCCCCCAGGUACUUACCCAAACUCUAUGCGGAGUUCUUGUUGUUUUUGCGUAUUUUUGGAAUCCUGAGACUCUAUCACCGUGUUUGCCAUAUUUACACGACUACUUCCGCGACUAGAUUCAAGUCCAGGCAGAAAAUCUAUACAUAUAUCGAUCACAAACCGCAGGACAAGGAAGAGCAUACCAGCUAGCCAUGGCGCUACCGGAAAAGUUGGACGGCGGCCGUACCAUCGUGAUCGAGGCCAUCCCGCCAGGCACUGGCAUCGGGGACCUCAUCGGCGCCUUCUCUCCUUUCGGCGCCAUCCGGUUUGCCUCCGUGGGUCCGCCCGCCGUCGUCAGCUUCGAGAGCGAGGCUGCCGCGGCGCACGCGCUGCUCCUGGCGUCCAUGAUGAAGGGCGUCAGCCUCCUCGGCGAGUUCAGGGAGAAGCACCCGCCCGGCGGCGUGUGUCCAUCGCCAACGCCGCGGCGUGCCUGCGCCGAUGAACCCGCUCCGUUGAACUUGAACAACCCCGCCGCGACGGCGCCGUACGUGCAGACGCCCGUCCCUCCGCCGGCGUCAGAGAGUCUGGCGAUCGAGGCUGGGACGACGCCGCCAACCGAGGCUGCAGUGCCGGAGAGAUAUACCACUCCGAACGACGCUUCCGCCGCCGCACUCCGGACUGCAACCAGACUGAGCGAGGCAAGGCGCACCAUGGAUUGGAUUGCGGAGAACAUGAUUCUCGAGUGCAUGGUCCUGGAGGGACACGUGGACGUCAUCAAGCAGAUACAAGAUCAGCUCGCCGAACACAUGAGAGGCUUGAACAUCCAUCCGGCUACAGUCCAAGUUUCUGCCAUGGCAGAGGCCCCGUGGAGAAAGAAGGUCACGAUCGAAUACAGAACGGGAGUAAAAUCCUGCAGCGGCGCACACGCCGGUUAGUGGUUAGAUAGACGGUAGCAGCUACCGUUUGUUAAAUAGCGAUGGCAAUUGGUAGGGUAUGGGCGGGUACAACCACCUUCUGCCCAAAUCCAUACCCAUAGAAAAAUUUUAUACCCUCUCACUUCAAUACCCAUGGGCAUAAAUUGGUACCCAUGCCCAUGCCCAUGCCCAUCGGGUAUGUUAUACCGAAUGGGUAUCCAAUGGGUACAAUAUAUAACAUUGAAUUUUUUGAAAGUUCAAAAAAUAAGUUUAAAAUUUAAGUGAUGAUGGAUGAGCAGCACUGACGCUGGCUCCUCCGAUGAGUGGACUCUUCAAGGCAUCCAUCGAGUAUGAUCAACGAUUGGUGGAAGCCCAGUGUGGUGGGAGGCAGUGGUGGGAAUGAGGGGUCGCUAGAUCGAUAGGUGGAAACAUGAGUCCGAUAGUGAAGAGUCGAGAUUUCAUCUUUUCGAGGAGUCACAUAGGAUGUAGGAGCAGUGGUGGCCUAUGAGCUAUGGCCAACUUAAGGCAUACGAGAUUUAGGGUGGGCCAUAGGAGUUGGAUGUUGACCCCACAUGUCAUAGGACUUAUUUUAACUAAUUAUAUUUUUCUGGGUAUCCAUUGGGUUACCCAUGGACAAAAUUUCAUACCCAUACCCUACCCAUAUAUUUUGCAGGUAUGGGUACCCAUUACCCGUGGGUAUAAAAUGUCUCCAAAUCUUGCCCAUGCCCAUUGUUUUCGGGUAGGGUACCCACGGGUACCCAUAUCCAUGGGCAAAACUGCCAUCCCUAUGUCUAAACAUGGCUGCAUAAAUAAAUUAGCUAAAAGGGCCGCAGUUUGUGGUUUUCUAUUGUAUUUUCGCAUGCACUUAAUUUGGACCAUGUCAUUAUCUUUUUUUGCUAAUUUUUAGUUAAUUGCUUGGAAGUUUUGACAAUCUCAAUCGCCAAAAAAGGGGUGUUUGAACAUGUGCAUCCGGUGAAUAUUUAUUGCAAAUUUUAGAUACAGAAACAGAGGGAGGGAGGGGAUUGUUGGAUGUUCAUCCAAAGGCUAAAAAGACUGAAUUUUGUUUUUAUGCCACACAACUCACGCCCCCUUAUUGCUUAUACUUGGCAAUGGCGGCGUAUUUUGUGUCGUUACCUUGACUAAUGUUUGCUUGGAGUUUGCUCGAAUCAUGAUCUUCAGGGUGAAAGCCCAUGAUCUGACGUUUGAUGCUUAGAUCCGACGAUGACGGCAUGCACAUGUAUUCCAUUCUUUGAGGCAUCGUCUUUGGAAAACCUUUUGUCAUAUCUAUGUGUUGUCAAAAGAUUGUUCGUACAAAUGGUCACUGGGGUAUAUCAUCGACUGUUGUUUUGAUCGCUUCGGGAUUUUUCUUCUUCUUCUUUUUCUUUAUUAUGCGCCUAGGCAUAGCUUCGGUCUUAUUUGACUUUGUUGUCUGCGCAAAAGACGGGUGUGUGCUCAUUAUAAUUGUAUCCCUCGAUGCUAAAAAAAGGCAACUCACGAUCCUGGUCAUUGUAGUGCCAAAGGUUUAAGGUUAAGAAUAUGAUAUAUGCCUCAACAAAAAAAAUUAAACUAUUUGAACGGCAGGACAAGGGGUGUUUGACCCCUUAUGAUGGUAUGUUGUACUGCUACUUGGACUUAGCCUGAAGAUUUUCAAAAUCUCAAUCAGCGAAAAACUCCAUAUGUGCAAGUUGGUGGAGUUUAAGUGUGAUUUUCAGUUUAACUACAUAUGUGCAAGUUGGAUGCUUUGGAUUUUAUUGCCAAACUUUGAGCAUGUAGGAUAGAUGUCAUCAACUCGAUAUUCACCCAUAACUAUUCAUGGCCAUUAACCUCAAGGUUGCAUGCUAGAGCUUCCUCGUUGGCUACGUCUGAAAAUGGAGAUCUUUAAAAUACAUUGAUGCCAUUUUGAGAAUGAGGCAUCCGAAAGUAGCAAAGUCAAAUCCGUUAAUCCUCGGAGGUGCCAACUUCAAAUAUGACAGUUGGAUCAUGAGAAUGCCUAAAGAAUUUUCCAUGUUGUGUUGUAGGGAAAUUCUUCCAUUUUUAGUGCAUGUAACCAAUGCACCAAAGUAUCGCUGGAAAUCCUCUUGCAUCAACCAUUGCCAAAAACCUUGCAGUAUUGUCGGAAUUGGGUAGCGUCCCUCUUACAUAAACCAUUGCCAAAACCUUGCAGUAUUGUCGGCAUUUGGUGGCAUGGGAUACUCAUCUCCGAAAACCUUGAUCACAGUCUCUUCAAAAUUACUCACACUCUUCAGGGUGGUUUCUUCCACAAUCCACAUGUGCGCAUCAGCAUAGCCAGAAGGGACAUCAUAUGUGAUCACUAGAAUUGCCGGCGCGAGCAUUUGCAAACAUUAAAGCCAAGUUCCAUGGCUCAAUUCCUCUGUUGCAUGAAGUAUCUAUUGUUAUCUUUCAUACCAUUGAUAAUCUGCAUGAAGAGCGCCCUGGAUAUCCUGAAGGGACGCGGAGGUACGCGGGGGGCCUCUAAAAAGUACUCACGCCAAAAUUGUUGAUGGUCGACCAUUUUGUUCUGAUAAAUAUUCAUGCGCUCAACUAAGAACUUGGAUGUUUUUUUUAUUUCAACCUCCCACUAAGCUAGCAAAAAUUUCACCUCCUCCGAGCCAUCGUCAACUAGCAUGUCUUUGAAGGAAUCAUCGUUUGACACAUCCAACAAUGAUGAAUUCUAGAAAUAAUCCUCCGCCUACUAUCUCCUUUAUAUACAAUAUGUACUACCAACAUCAUUGCGCAAACCAAUUCAUAGCCUCCAAAUUUGCCAGAAAUCUUUUUACCUUAUGAGCACAAGAUCAAAUAUUGGGUGGGCUUGCCACCGGCCAAAUCGGUGAUGGCAGGCAGACGAAGGAAUGUUAGAGGUCAGGAAAGAGAGGGGGAUGUGCGGUCCUGCAACUAACCUCAUGACGGGCUAGCCGGAGUAGCAGACGCCACGACGAUAAUCUCCCAUCCUAGCAAGGCCCAGCGCCAGCGUAAGGACGCCAACACGGGACUCCCGAAGGUCAUGGGAGUGAGGCAUUGUGGUGGAAUAUUGUCAAGGGAUGGCAACAUCUUCACGUCGUCGGAGAAACGAGUGAGGGAGUCCUGGACUAAGGGGUCCUCGGGCGUCCGGCCUGUUAUUCAUUGGGCCGGACUGAUGGGCUGUGAAGAUACGAAGGCCGGAGACUCUACCCGUGUCCGGAUUGGACUCUACUUGGCGUGGAAGGUAAGCUUGGCAACCGACUAUGUAGAUUCUCUCUGAUGUAACCGGCUCCAUGUAACCCUAGAUCUCUCCGGUGUCUAUAUAAACCGGAGAGCAUAGUCCGGAUACGGGACAUUCAUUACCAUAUUCACAUAGGCUAGACUUCUAGGGUUUAUCCAUUACGAUCUCGUGGUAGAUCAACUCUUGUAACACUCAUAUUCAUCAAGAUCAAUCAAGCAGGAAGUAGGGUAUUACUUCCAUAGAGAGGGCCCGAACCUGGGUAAACAUCGUGUCCCCCCUCUCCUGUUACCAUCGAUCCUAGACGCACAGUUCGGGACCCCCUACCCGAGAUCCGCCGGUUUUGACACCGACAUUGGUGCUUUCAUUGAGAGUUCCACUGUGCCAUCGACAAAAGGUUUGAUGGCCCCUUCAAUCGUUGAUGAUGACGUUGUCCAGGGAGAAACCUUUCUCCCCGGACAGAUCUUCGUGUUCGGCGGCUUCGUACUGCGGGCCAACUCGCUUGGCCAUCUGGAGCAGAUCGACAGCUACGCCCCUGGCAUCAGGUCAGAUUCGGAAGCUUGAACCACGUUGCGGACAUCCGUGGAGACUCGAUCUUUGACAGAUUCGAGACCGCGGCAAUCGCUCCCCGCCGCCCCGAUGGACAUGGCUUAAACCUGUCAUCGGGCCUCAUCCAGGAGAUAGCUCCUGCAGCAACUCUGGCCUUAGAUCCGGAGCAGAUCAAGUCGUCCCAGGAUGGGAAGCUCAACCCCAUCACGGGGGCUACCGAUUCCGCGGCGUUGGAGCCGCACACAGAUUCUACUGCGUAUGAUAUCAGCAUCAGCGGAACCCCGGACUCGUCCCCGGCGACAGGUUCCGAACCCUGCGAGUCCGCAGAUACCGAACUCGAUCGGUUAUCGAUCUUCAAGUUCAGCGCCGCAGACGUCUUCCAACACUCGCCCAUGGGCGAUGUACUAAACUCACUAAAAAACUUAUCUCUGGCAGGCGACUCGCCACCGAACUAUGUUCGGUUCGAACUUACGGCUGAUGAUGGAGAAUUUUGCUUCCCACCCGCCACCCACUUCAUAGCCACUGUCGAAGACCCAACCAACACGCUUGACCUCGGCCCCGAAGACAUCGACGGUGUGGACGACGAUGAGGGGCAAGGCCAGAACUCACUACCCGCUAGACGCGGGAUGGCCACUUCAUGGUACGACGUGUGUAUGAUAGACACACCCAACGACGCUUUCGACGAUGACAAGGAGGACCCAGUUGAGGAUAAACCUCCUGGUACACAGUCCGAACACCGACGCGCCCUGCACUGCUCUAAGUCACGACGCUCAAGAGAAAAUAAUACUAGCACCGGAGAAGAUAACACUCCGGACGAUGAAGACCCUGUUGAGGUAAGAUCCGAACAGGAGGAACAGGAAGGCGGGCAAGACAGCCCUGAUGAACAGGCAACAUAUGGAGACUCAGAGGAUAGCAAUUAUCUCCCACUCUCCGAGGAAGAGGAGAUCCUCGACAACGAGGAUUUUAUCGUGCCUAAGGAACCUCUCGAGCAGGAGCGCUUUAAACGCCAGCUCAUAACCACCGUAAGGAGCCUAAGAAAGAAGCAGCUACAGCUUCAAGCGAGCCAAGAUUUUAUCAAUGAUAGAUGGACCGAGGUCUUGGCCGCCGAAGAAUACGGCCUUAUCGGCCCAGACAAGAGCCACCCCAAGAGCAGGUGGCUCCCUCAAUACAUGGCGUGGAGCCCACACCACCAUCGAAUAAGGCUGUAGGCCGACCACAGUUCGGUCCGGAUAAAGCAGCAGCCCAAGCAGAGCACCAUACCAACCCAUCCGGUCGUCAAAACAAGAACAAAACAGCUCGAGGGAACACUCGCGACAUCCAACAGGACCUGGAGGGUAGAACAGAACACACGAAGUCAAUACACAGAUCGCGGGGACAUGCCCCGACCUGUGGUGAUGUGAUACGUCUCCAACGUAUCUAUAAUUUUUGAUUGUUCCAUGCUAUAUUAUAUUCUGUUUUGGACAUUAUUGGGCUUUAUUAUACACUUCUAUAUUAUUUUUGGGACUAACCUAGUAACCGGAGGCCCAGCCCAGAAUUGCUGUUUUUUGCCUAUUUCAGAGUUUCGCAGAAAAAGAAUAUCAAACGGAGUCCAAACGGAAUGAAACCUUCGGGAACGUGAUUUUCGAAACGAACGUGAUCCAGAGGACUUGGACCCUACGUCAAGACAUCAACCAGGAGGGCACGAGGUAGGGGGGCACGCCUACCCCCCCCCCCCAGGGCGCGCCCUCCACCCUCGUGGGCCCCCUGUUGCUCCACCGACGUACUCCUUCCUCCUAUAUAUACCUACGUACCCCCAAACUACCAGAUACGGAGCCAAAAACCUAAUUCCACCCCCGCAACCUUCUGUACCCGUGAGAUCCCAUCUUGGGACCUGUUCCGGAGCUCCGCCGGAGGGGGCAUCGAUCACGGAGGGCUUCUACAUCAACACCAUAGCCUCUCCGAUGAUUUGUGAGUAGUUUACCUCAGACCUUCGGGUCCAUAGUUAUUAGCUAGAUGGCUUCUUCUCUCUUUUUGGAUCUCAAUACAAUGUUCUCCCCCUCUCUCGUGGAGAUCUAUUUGAUGUAAUCUUCUUUUGCGAUGUGUUUGUUGAGACCGAUGAAUUGUGGGUUUAUGAGCAAGUUUAUCUAUGAACAAUAUUUGAAUCUUCUCUGAAUUCUUUUAUGUAUGAUUGGUUAUCUUUGCAAGUCUCUUCGAAUUAUCAGUUUGGUUUGGCCUACUAGAUUGAUCUUUCUUGCAAUGGGAGAAGUGCUUAGCUUUGGGUUCAAUCUUGUGGUGUCCUUUUCCAGUGACAGUAGGGGCAGCAAGGCACGUAUUGUGUUGUUGCCAUCGAGGAUAACAAGAUGGGGUUUAUAUCAUAUUGCAUGAGUUUAUCCCUCUACAUCAUGUCAUCUUGCUUAAAGCGUUACUUUGUUCUUAUGAACUUAAUACUCUAGAUGCAUGCUGGAUAGCGGUCGAUGUGUGGAGUAAUAGUAGUAGAUGCAGGCAGGAGUCGGUCUACUUGUCUCGGACGUGAUGCCUAUAUACAUGAUCAUACCUAGAUAUUCUCAUAACUAUGCUCAAUUCUGUCAAUUGCUCAACAGUAAUUUGUUCACCCACCGUAAAUACUUAUGCUCUUGAGAGAAGCCACUAGUGAAACCUAUGGCCCCCAAGUCUAUUUUCCAUCAUAUUAAUCUUCCAACACUUAGUUAUUUUUAUUGCCUUUUAUUUUACUUUGCAUCUUUAUCAUAAAAAUACCAAAAAUAUUAUCUUAUCAUAUCUAUCAGAUCUCACUCUCGUACGUGACCGUGUAGGGAUUGACAACCCCUUAUCGCGUUGGUUGCGAGGAUUUAUUUGUUUUUGUAGGUGCGAGGGACUCGUGUGUGGCCUCCUACUAGAUUGAUACCUUGGUUCUCAAAAACUGAGGGAAAUACUUACGCUACUUUGCUGCAUCACCCUUUCCUCUUCAAGGGAAAACCAAUGUAGUGCUCAAGAGGUAGCAUGAUGGUCACCUAUUCGGACACAAUAGAGCCGACCACGCCCGGUCCGAACUCCGUAAAUGGAGACCGCCGGAGGUGCUUCAUAGUGUGGCUCAACAUAGAGGAGCCGCACACCCUCUCUGCUUCACUGACGAGGUAAUGGAGCAUGAAUUUCCAGACGGGUUUAAACCCAUUAACAUCGAAUCAUACGAUGGAACAACAGAUCCCACGGUAUGGAUUGAGGAUUACCUCCUCCAUAUCCACAUGGCUCACGGAGAUGACCUUCAUUCCAUUAAAUACAUACCUCUCAAGCUUAAAGGGCCAACUUGGUACUGGCUAAACAGUUUGCCAGAAAUUUCUAUUGGCAGCUGGGAAGAUUUGGAAGACACCUUUCGAGACAACUUCCAAGGAACAUAUGUCCGGCCACUAGAUGACGAUGACUUAAGUCAUAUUGUCUAGAAGCCCGGCGAGUCAGCCAGGGAGCUCUGGACUAGGUUCUUAGUCAAAAAGAACCAAAUUGUCGACUGUCCGGACGCAGAAGCCCUCGCAGCCUUCAAACAUGGCGUCCGGGAUGAAUGGCUAGCGUGUCACCUCGGCCAGGAAGGACCCAAAUCCAUGACAGCCCUUACCGCUCUAAUGACUCGCUUUUGUGUGGGAGAAGACAACUGGCUCGCUCGUAAAAGCAACAAAGCCAGUGACCCGGGCACUUCCGAAAUUCGAGACGGCAACGGUAAGCCACGACGAACCGAACACAACAGUCGCAAUAAUACUGAAAGAUUACGCGGCACAGCGGUCAACGCCGGAUUUCACAAUCCGAAACCCGGUCAACGGAAUAAGCCACUAAAGGCAAACCGGGAUGGAUCAUCCACCCUUGACAGAAUAUUGGACCGACCUUGUCAGAUUCACGGUCAUCCUGAUAAGCCAGCUAACCAUACCAAAAGAAACUGUUGGGUCCUCAAGUAGGCAGGCAAGCUUAACGCCGAUAGCAAGGGGAGGAGGCCACCAGGCGAUAAAGACGACGGAGCGGCUCGCCAGCCGAACAUCAGGGGCCAGAAGAAGUUUCCCUCCGAAGUUCGACCACUCCCGGAACGGAAAUAGCAGUUCGGCUUCCGCCACCCACCUACCAUACUGGCGAGAUUUACACCACGCGUACAUCACUACGCACUCAAGAUACCAUGGGCAUCUGCGGAAGCACAAUAUGGACAACCCUGCAAGAAUCCCCGUAACGUUUUUAUCCGUUUUUCUUAUUUUUCUGUAUCAUUUCUUAAGAACAGGUGACCAACACGACAGCAUCUACAACGGACUCUAUCGGAGUUCGGAUCCGUACACUCACCUAAGGGGCUACUUCCGUUAAGGAUUCCCCUCCCUGAGGACGGGCGGCGCAAACGUGCGACAGGAGGUCCAAAGUAACUUUUUGUAGACCGCACUCUUUAUUCCGAGCCUGUACUAUGCCCUUUUUCCCUCUGUUCCCGACCCCGAGCAUGUCAAAUAGCCGGGCUUGUGGUUCCUUUAUAUAUAUAUAUACACACACACACACACAUAAAUUCGUCAUUGGUGUAUUGCUCCGCUCCCAGUAAACCUUGUCCGAACUAAUCUUUCACACUCUUUCAACAAUGAGUACGGCAUCAACGGUUGCGUUACAGAUGCACCUCAGCAUACCGUGCCAGGGGCUCGGUAUGGGAACGAAAGAGUUGCCAGCAAAAGUCCGAACAGCUCUAUAGCGUACUUCGGUGUCGCAAGUUUGGCCUUAUAUGCAUCAGCUCCGAAUCAUUGUCUUGGGUCAAUAGUUGGGUUGCCCGGCUCCUGUGCUUGCUACCCUACGUUCCACUCUAUCGGCUAGGGUAGUAAAGGGAGAACUACUGCGAUUGUGCCCUGGUCUAAACCGGACGAGCACCUUAGUAGAGAAAGCUGAAAACUGACUGUCAUGAUGCGGCGAGAGUUGAUCAACCAAUUGACGACUUCUUGGAAUCCUUAGCGAUUCUCCGUGUCACACGAGGGAUCUUUUUCAGAUCAAAUAUGCAAGGCAUUAUACGCCACAUACAUACCAGGGGCUAUGUCGUAGCCCCACCAUAAAACUCCUAUGGCUAAGUGAAAGUGUUAACGCCUUAUAGUCCGAUUGCCUGGUUCGCUGCAUUAUCACCUCCUUUACGGACCAAGACGUUGGAUAAAGAGUGAUUAGAUGCUUUUCCGAACACCCCCGUACUUCCUAUGAGGGGGCUGAAGCCGACGACCGGAAAACUUUCAGAUUAUAUUAAAACGGCCGCACAGGAGGAAUUCAAGCUUUGGAGCAAAAAUAUAAAAUAGAUCAAUUAUAAAAUUAUCUUUUACAAUUGUAAUACACCUCACUCGAACAUUAUGUUCUUCGAGCAUUGACCCUCUAUUAGGCGGGCGGCUUCCAGGACGUCUUCAAAAUAAUGCUCCGGCUCAUUACGGUCCUUGCCCUUGGGCGGACUCUUCGCAGCAACAUCGACGGCCUUCAUCUUCCCCCAGAACGUCUUGACUCGGGCAAAGGCCAUCCGUGCACCCUCAAUGCAUGCCGACCGCUUCGCAGCAUCGAUACGCGGCACCGCAUCAACAAGACGCCGAACCAGGCCAAAAUAGCUCUUGGGAACAGGCUCACUCGGCCACAACCGGAUUAUGACGUUCUUCAUGGCGUCGCCGGAUAUCCUAUGAAGCUCGGCCCAUUGGGACAUCUGUUCAUUUAGCAACAGAGGGCGCUUUGAUGCGCCAAACUGUGACCAGAAAAGCUUCUCCAUUGCAUACCCCUCUUGCGCUUGGUAAAAUUGCGCCACAUCGGAAGAACUCUUCGGCAAGUCCAAAAAUUCAGCCGGAGAACUCCAGACCUGGCUUAGCUGAGCAUAGUCCGGAUCGCCAAACUUAGUUUGAAGCAAAAAGGGCUUACCGGCUGCUAUCUCCUUAGCCUGCCGAAUCUCUUCACGAGCUGCCCUAGAUUCAGACCGAGCUUCACUCGCCUCUCGUACGGCCUUAUCAAGUUCAGCCAUUUUGGCUUUAUUCUCCUUCUCAAGGAAUUCACAGCGGCUGGCAGUAUUCUUCAAUUCAAACGCCAGUGCGGAUAUUUUCUCCUCACUUUGGCGCCGAGCUGCUUGUUCGGCUCUUAGAUCAGCCGAUGCCUUCUCGGCAGCUGCAUCACUACACCGGGCCUGCUCCUUGGGCUGGGCUAGCUCCGCCCGAAGAGCUUCAACGGCGGCAGCACCAUCUGCAAUCAUGCGCAUUUCAUAUAAAACCCUUUUCGGCAUCAGGCCUACAUUACAAGCACAUUGGUGUAAGGAAUGCUCGAAAUAUAUACCUUGCGAGUCGUCAAGACGCCUGUUGAUCAAUGCAAUGUCAUCUUCUGCAAUAUCCAGCUUUAGCUGCAGUUCGGCCACUUCCGUAUUUCGGGUAGCCGCAGAAGGGGAGGCAGCCUGUAUCCCAAGUUAAAUCAAGGUUAGUAACUGAGCAUAUCUUUUUGAUCCUCCGUUCGCCUCCUUCGGAAGGCAACCCGGGUCUCAGGGGCUAGUGCAUAUACAACAGGUGCAUUCUGUCAAUAUUAUUCAAUUGGCAAAACUACAUCACAAACCUCACAACCUCUUAAAAGGCUCGAGAAGGCCUCGUUCAACCCGCUUUUCGUGGAUAGAACCUUUUCGACCACCAUAACCAUCAAGGCACGGUGCUUCUAUGAAAUGGACGCUCGCCGCAGCAUGUCCGUCAGCAUUUCCGGCGCUCCGGGGUCUUCAGAAACCGCCGCCGGAGUACAGCAUUCCUUUGAAGGAAUCCGCUUACUCGCCCCCAGAAUCGUCUCCGGCUAUAAACCGGACGGUUCGGGGCCGUCAUUCUUGAUCCCUGAACCCUGAGUGACAGAGGCACCACCUUCGGGUAACGCCUUCUUCGUUUCCUGCACUGCUUGACGAUUGGGAGGAGCCCUUCGGGACGAUACCUCGGUAUCAUCCCCCUUGUUGGGCGAAGAGGCCGGAGAUGGCGUGUCACUCUCCAUCAUCUCUGGAAGAAGGUCUCCCGAGGAGGAGGACGAUCGAGAAACACUAGGCGUUAACCUGCAUGGAUGUGCAUAUGUCGGAUGAUUACUUCACUAAUAGGAAAAGAAUGAGGUACGUUUAAAGUGCCCCAGCUUCACUUACGGUUUGGCCAGAGGUUCGUCCUCGCCAUAAAACCUUACGGCAGCAUCGCUCGCCCGGCCCAAACUGCCCGACGAUGGCAUUUUUCCUCUCUUGGAAGGCUUCCCCUCCUGAUCUUCAGAAGCAGCCCUCUUUUUGCCAUGGAGAGCUUCCUCCACACCUUUGCCCUUGGGCAAAAGAGUUUCAGUUUCCCCGAACACAACUUUUAAUUCGUCCUCAGGGCGGGUAUAACCUUCGAGCUCCCCGCUCUCGCCCCCCUCUACAGACACCUGGUACGGUGUGGGAAUCAGCAUUCUCGUCAGCAGGGCGGUCGCAGAGUCUUCGGGAAGGGGCGCCGGACACCAGAUUAACACCGCUUUCUUUAUCCAGUCCUGUAUAGGGACGGAUUGUUCGGUAUCCUGUCAAGAGAUGCUUGAAUGGAAGGUGUUCAGAGUUUGAGUACUUACCGCAGUGUCCGGAUGGUUGCAGUCAAGGCCGACAUCUUCGGUGGUGUCCGGCCAUUGCUCUCGUUCCCCGAAAUAUAAUUUCCACAUUCCUUCAUGCGUGGUGCCGAAGAAGUGCUGAAGAGGCCGCCGCCCUUCUGGAUUAAACUCCCACAUACGGAGAGGCCGCCGCUGACAUGGCAGGGUCCGGCGGACUAGCAUUACUUGAACGACGUCCACAAGACCGAUGCCCUUCUCGGUAAGGCUUCGGAUACGACCUUGCAGAGUCUGCACUUCAUUGACGGAUCCCCGGUCCAGUCCCUUAUUGAUCCAUGAAGCAAGCUGAAUUGGAGGGCCGGGUCGGAACGCGGGCGUAACCACCCACUUGGAGCCCCACGGCUCGUUGAUAUAAAACCACCCCUGCUGCCAUAGGUCGGAAGACUUGGCGAAAGAUCCUUCAAACCAAACCGCGCUGGCAAGCUUGCGUAUUGUGACGCUGCCGCACUCUGCCUGCUCCUUCUCUGUCACCUGCGGCCUCACGUCAAAGGUCUUGAGCCACAAACCAAAGUGCGGAGGAGUGCGGAGGAGUCCGGAGGAAGGCCUCACACGUGACGAUAAAUGUCGAGAUGAGGAGAAUAGAGUCCGGGGCCAGAUCGUGAAAGUCUAGCCCAUAGUAGAACAUGAGCCCCCAGACGAAGGGGUUAAGCGCGAACCCUAACCCAUGGAGGAAGUGGGACACAAACACUACCCUUUUGCCAGAUUUGGGGGUAGGAACGACCUGCCCCUGUGCAGGAAGCCGAUGAAGGAUUUCCGGGGUCAGAUACCUCGCUGCGCGGAGCUUCACAAUAUCCUCCUCUAUGAUAGAAGAAGCCACCCACCGGCCUUGACGGCUGGAUCCGGACAUGAUUAGGGCUGGUGGCGACGGGAACCCGAGGGUUGGAACUUGGGGUGGUUCGGGUUGAGGAAGGAGCAAGCGCAAAGGAAGAAGACGAGUCUGCGACCCUAUAUAAAGACCCCAAAUACUAAGCGUAUCCACCUGGGUCUCGAAACUUACCUAUCUCCAGAGAGUUGUACCCAGGGGACGGUUGGGUUACCCACGCCUGCAUUAAUGAAAAUCCGUGAAUAAGGGAACACGAUCUUUGCCUCGGCAAGACGUGCCAGUAAAACCGCAUCCCGAGACGUGGGGCGACGUGCCAGCCAACGGUUGGAAAUAGUAACCGAGCAGGCGUGAUGCGAUGUCAUAAACAGUUAUCAAAAAAUUAGACUCGUGGAAUAUUGUAUUUUCUGCAAUUAUAUACACAGGUCCGGAUAUACCUACUACAUCCGAAGACUAUUCCGGAGUUCGGAAGGAGGAAACCCGCCUUGCAAUGCCGAAGACAAUAUGCACGCCGGACUCCUCGUCAUUGAAGCCAGGUUCAGGGGCUACUGAGGGAGCCCUGGACUAAGGGGUCCUCGGGCGUCCGACCUGUUAUUCAUUGGGCCGGACUUAUGGGCUGUGAAGAUAUGAAGGCCGGAGACUCUACCCAUGUCCGGAUUGGACUCUACUUGGCGUGGAAGGCAAGCUUGGCAACCGACUAUGUAGAUUCUCUCUGAUGUAACCGACUCCAUGUAACCCUAGAUCUCUCCAGUGUCUAUGUAAACCGGAGAGCAUAGUCCGAAUACGGGACAUUCAUUACCAUAUUCACAUAGGCUAGACUUCUAGGGUUUAGCCAUUACGAUCUCGUGGUAGAUCAACUCUUGUAACCCUCAUAUUCAUCAAGAUCAAUCAAGCAGGAAGUAGGGUAUUACAUCCAUAGAGAGGGCCCGAACCUGGGUAAACAUCGUGUCCCCCGUCUCCUGUUACCAUCGAUCCUAGACGCACAGUUCGGGACCCCCUACCCGAGAUCCGCCGGUUUUGACACCGACAACGAGGAGGGACAAACCGCCGCCACCGCAUUAUCGCCUACCAUCUUGGAUCGUGGUGACAGUCGAGCUCACGUGGCCAUUGAUUUUGUUGGAAAUAAGAGCAAGUUACUACGAGAUUUAAUCCGAAUAAACAGAAGAUAAAUCAUGACAGCAGUAGCAGAGAUUAAACUAAUAAUGUGAACUAGCAUAGUAGAUGAACAUAUCACAUCUAGGGCACAUACUAGAAACAUGAAUUCUACCACGAUCUCGAACAGGAAGGAUAGAAUCACAUACGAUGCAGUGGGAGCAGCACCGCCGGUGUUGACGUUGUCGCCCAUGUCGUCGAGGAUGAGGUUGCCGAGGUCGGGCAAGAAGUCGUCGUUGGCGAAGUCGUCGCUGCCAGCAGUCGCGCGAGUGCGCUCCCCAAAAACCUGAUCGCCCCUCUCCCGUACAGGAUCACGAGAGGUGGGGUUCCGGAGGCCUGCUGUCCCUUCUCUCGGUGCACGCCAAAAGGAGGGAUGGAGAAGACUUGCUUGGCGGUGCAAUGAUCUGGAUUGGUGGUGCGAAACCAUGCGAGACGGCGGCAGCUAGAGUAAACGUAUGCCUGACUAUAUAAUGCGGGUCGGGUAGGUCGUGGAGAAAAAACCCACGUCCAAGUAACAUCCCCACGAUCCAAAAGGAUCGGAAACGGCUGAGAAAUUAACGCGUCCAUUAAUUAUUGACUUAUUAAUUUUUUCCGAGCAGCAAAAAUAUAGACAACGUGCAUAGCUCUGUCCUCGGGUCGGCUCAUUCCCGCGCGGCGUGAUGAGGCGUGGCGAGGCGAGCGAGGAGGAGGAGCGCGCGUGUAGGUCUCCUCUUAUCAUGCUCAUACAAGUGGUAGAAGAGCUCACCUUAUAAAGAGGUGCAACUCUCUCUCAACUUAUGAGGUGGGACUAAACUUUAGUCCCACUCACACCACUCACAUGUGUGCAUGAAUGGGCCAAGAGAAUUUCAGAAUUUUAGUUGGGCUUUGGGCCAAAAGCCCACUAGCAAAUUCCAACAAUCCCCCACAAAGUCUCAUUGGCACAUCUCAUCAUUUAGUUCCAAAACAUUGUUUAUAUACCGUUGCUUAGUGGAGACUGUGAAGUUGAACUUCCACUUAGAGUUUUAUGCUACACUAGAUCACAACUUGAAUAGUGGACUAUGCCUUGAACUACAAGUUUUCUGCGAUACUAGUUUCACACAAAUUCUUGACCGAUACUGGGCUGUCGCAAGGCUUCCCCGCGGGUGGAGCGUAUACGUCAUACUCCGGGGCCUUUCAUGAAUUUAUUAGAGAACACCCAAUUCUCACAGACUGCGACGUUAACUGUCAAAUUCAUAUAGGUGUGUUCCUCAGGAGAUGCUCUACAGGACAACAUCUCUGCUUACCCGAAUAAGCCACUUGGAACACAUUAAGAUAAGUAUCAACCUACCAUGCAGAUCAGGAGAGUAUUGCAUCUUCACGGAGUGGGAUAAUUAAUAUAGGGAUACUCUCCUCCCAGCUGACCAACAGCUUGUCUCCCACUUCUACUUCACGAGAUCUCCGAUCACAUAGAGUGGGUUACCACUAUGGACAACUCAAGCGGUGGGUCUCAAACCCAUCUCCAUCGAUGCAUUAUCUAUCACAUUUUGUGAUAAACCCUUUGUGAAGGGAUCUGCCAAGUUUUUCGACGUUUGGAUAUAAUCCAACGUAAUAACUCUGGAGUUCCUCAAUUUUCUGACAGAUUUUAGUCUCCUCUUUGCAUGCCUUGAGGACUUCAUAUUGUCCUUAGAACUAUUUAUCUUGACGAUCACAGUAUGAUUAUCACAGUUCAUCAGGAUAGGGGGUAUUGGUUUUUCAACCAUAGGCAAGUCCAUCAAAAGCUCACGAAGCCACUCUGCUUCAACAGUGGCAGUGUCUAACGCUGUGAGUUCUGCUUCCAUAGUUGACCUUGUUAAGAUGGUCUGCUUGCAAGACUUCCAGGAAAUAGCGCCACCACCAAGUGUAAAAACAUAACCACUUGUGGCCUUAAUCUCAUCAGCAUCAGAUAUCCAGUUUGAGUCACUAUAACCCUCCAGUACCCUUGGAUACCCGGUGUAGUGAAUCCCAUAGCUCGCAGUGCCUUUCAAGUAGCGCAUAACUCUCACAAGCGCAUGCCAAUGAUCAUCUCCCGGUUUUGACACAAACCGACUCAGCUUGCUCACAGCAAAAGAGAUGUCAGGCCUCGUGGCAUUCGCCAAAUACAUGAGCGAGCCAAUAAUCUGAGAAUACCUCAGUUGAUCUCUAGCAAUCGUUGAUUCUUUCGAAGCAACACACUAGCAUCAUAUGGAGUUGGAGAAGGCGUGCAGUCGCUAUACCCAAAACGACUCAAGAUCUUUUCCACAUAGUGAGAUUGAAGCAGUGUGAUCCCACCAUUAUCAUCCCUCAAUAGCUUGAUGUUUAAGAUAACAUCAGCUACUCCUAGAUCCUUCAUCUCAAAACAGCGAGAUAGGAAAUCCUUAACCUCCUUGAUUAAAUCAAGAUUGGUUCCAAAGAUCAGUAUGUCAUCGACAUACAGACAAAGAAUAAUUCCUUCGCCCCCACCAUGGCGAUAGUACAUGCACUUGUCACCAUCGUUUACUACAAAGCCGGCAGUAGUUAAUGUUCUUUCAAACUUCUCAUGCCACUCCUUAGGAGCUUGUUUAAGGCCAUAUAAAGACUUUAAUAACUUUCACACCUUUCCUUCCUGACCAGGUACUACAAAACCAUCUGGCUGAUCCAUAUAAAUUUCCUCCUUCAACUCUCCAUUGAGGAAAGCCGUCUUAACGUCCAUUUGAUGAACGAGAAGACCAUGUGAGGCAGCUAGUGAUAGUAGCACCCGAAUUGUGGUCAGUCUAGCCACGGGUGAGUAAGUAUCAAAGAAGUCUUCACCUUUUUUCUGGGUAUAACCCUUAGCCACAAGUCAUGCCUUGUACUUUUCAAUCGUACCAUCAGGUCUAAUCUUCUUCUUGAACACCCACUUACAUCCUACAGGUUUGCACCCAUAAGGACGGUCAGUGAUCUCCCAAGUUCCGUUAGCUAAGAUGGAAUCCAUCUCGCUGCGAACAGCUUCCUUCCAGUAGUCAGCAUCAAGAGAUGCAUAGGCUUCUGAAAUAGUCCUGGGUGUGUCAUCCACAAGGUACACAAUGAAAUCAUCACCAAAGGACUUUGCAGUCCUCUGUCUCUUACUCCUCACAGGAGUUCCAUUGUCACCCUCAACGGGAUUCUCAACGUGUUCCAUCGCAAUGGUGGGUUCAGGAAUUAUAGCGAAUUCCUCACUAGAUGGAGUAGGUAUCUCCUGAUUUGAUGAACUCGACAUAUCCUUCAUAGGAAAUAUGUCCUCAAAGAAAGUUGCAUCAUUCGACUCCAUAAUCAUCCUUCAUAGGAAAUAUGUCCUCAAAGGAAAUUUCAAAACUUGGCUUUAAUCCUCAUCGCAGAGGCUGCCAGACAAAUUCGCCAAGGUGUUCGACCGUCAUCGGCACCAGAACUAUUGUUGCGGGACGCCGGGCGCCGGCUUCACUUGUGGGAUGCGGAUCUAGUGUUCAACGCCGACCGCCUCAUGUACCUUGCACCGAUGGUAGUUGCUACUUAGUUUACCCGGGGACGAGCGGGUUAGAGGGUUCCUCGGUGUCGAUGGUACCGUAAAUAGCAAGUAUCGUCAGUGCGAGGUACAUGUGGUCGUCGAUGUCGAAUACUUGCUAUGUUACUCAUCUUUCGAUUUAAAUAUGCAGGUAUUUCGUCGCUGCGAGGGUCUAGUGUUCGACGAGCUCCGCCCCUGCGUUCGUUGGUGAGCACAAAUGACAUCUCCUCCUCCCCCCCCCCCCUUCAUUUGCUCUGUAUAGCUAUAGGUGUCAAACAUCAGUAUGCGUAACCACUAUGCGUCUCCCGUUCGAAAGGGUUACAUCUAUAAAUAUGCAUGCAUUUGCAUAUUUAUAAUCGUGAUUCUUUUGAAUUGUCCAACAUUAUCCAUGGACAGCCCGAGUAUGUGUAGAUUGGGUUCAUUUUCCCAUAAGCUCAGCUCCGGAUCCGAUACAGAAUUUCGUCAGUGCCUCCCUGUUGUUCUCCGGGUACACAUUCUCUCUGCUUAUUGGCGAGACGUGUAUCAGGAGAACAGCGGGGAGGUGCUGCCAAAAUUUUGCGUCGGAUCCGGAGCAGAGCAUGGGAAAACGAACCCGAUCUACACAUACUCGGGUGGGAUUAGGACCUAUCUUUACCUAUUAGCAUGUAGGUUGCAUGGACGUAAUAAAACUAACAAACUCCAUUAACUGAUGGAUAUGGUUUGCUUAAUUAUGUAUAUAUUUCUUGUGUGUCCAGUAGGAAGUCAAUAUGAGUGAUCGUGCAUGGAUGUACACCGGUUACACUAGUUAGAAAGUUUGGACCGAGGAAUGUUUAACAAAAACCAAGGGGUUUGUUAGAGCCGCAUUUGCAAAUGGCCAGGAAUUUAGCUGGUGCCCCUGUGCCCGUUGCGACAACUAUAAAAAGAGGGACGAGCUUGAAAUGAGUAAAGACAUGCAGAAGUUUGGUUUUACGCCUGGUUACACAGUCUGGACAUUACAUGGUGAGUCUGCCUAACGUGCCAGAGCCGAGGUUCGUCGUCGCACCGACGAGCAUGGUACCGGGACCGCAGACAUGGUGCAAGACUUUGACGAUGCUCGGGACUCGGACGAGGAGAUGGAGGAAUCUGCAAAGGCCUUCACUGAAAUGUUGGAGUCCUCAAAACAUCCUCUCCACGAGCACACUAAGCUUUGUCAGCUGGAUGCCAUCUCACAAAUAAUGGCUUUGAAGGCUCAAUUCAACUUGGGCAGAGAAUGCUACGACGCGAUGAUGACAGUAUUCGGACGAUUUCUACCCAAAGGCCAUGUGCUACCUCCAAACCUGUACCAGUCAGACAAAAUCCUCUGUGCUCUUAAGAUGCCCUAUGAGAAGAUACAUGCCUGUGAGAAAGGAUGUGUCUUACUUAGGCUUUAGUAUGAGGACUUGAACUAUUGUCCCAUUUGCAAUUCUUCCAGGUAUGUUGUGGUAGACAACGGUAUGGGUGAGAAGACGCAGACCAAAAUACCCGUUAAUGUUCUUCGGUAUAUGUCAAUAUUACCAAGACUUCAACGUCUUUUCAUGGUCGAAGAGACAGCCAGACAGAUGACAUGGCACAAAACGGGAAAAAGAACUGAACUAGAUGCAGAUGGGAAUGUGAUGAUGGUGCACACAUCGGAUGGUGAAGCGUGGAAGCGCUUCGAUGCAUUACAUAAGGAAAAAACGGCAGAUCCAAGGCAUCCUCGAGUCGCCGUCAGCACAGAUGGGUUCAGUGUGUUUGGUCAGAUGGCAGCCCCAUACAGCUGUUGGCCCGUGUUUGUCAUUCCACUCAAUCCCCCCCCCCGGGCAGAUUAUGCAACGAAAGAAUAUUUUCCUGACGUUGAUAUAAUUCCAGGGCCCAACUAUCCGGGGAAGAAUAUGAAUGUGUACAUGCAGCCGCUUAAGGACGAAUCACAAGAAGCUUGGGAUAAUGGGUUCAAGACAUACGACGCCUUUAGCAAACAGAACUUCAUAAUGCGUGCCUGGUACAUGUACUCGACGCAUGACUUGCCGGCGUAUGCGCUAUUCAUUGGCUGGUGUGUGCAUGGAAGGUUCCCGUGCCCCACAUGCACGGGAGCUCUUGAGUAUCGUUGGCUGACGGCAGGGAGCAAGUAUAGUUGCUUCGACUUGCAUAGACCGUUUCUACAUCCUGGCCAUAAGUUCAGGAAAGACAAGAAGAACUUCAUCAAAGGUAGAGUUGUCAAACACUCUGCACCACCUGCGUUGACAGGCCAACAGACCCUAGAUCAGUUAAACGGUCUCGAGCCAGAUCCAGAGCGUCCAGGGUAUUUCAAGGGGUAUAAUAAGGAACACGCCUGGACUCACAAGACAUGCUUCUGGGAUCUGCCUUACUUCAAAGACCUCCUUUGCCCACACAACAUCGACGUGAUGCACACUGAAAAGAAUAUCGCCGAAGCCAUUUUUGGUACAUUGUUCGGCAUAGAGGGGAAAUCAAAGGAUAAUACUAAGGCUAGAGUCAAUCAAGAGGAGCUAUGUGAUAGACCGUUACAAAACAUGAAAGAACAGAAAGGAAAGGGGAUCAACUGGACGAAGCGAAAGGCAUGGUUCAAUCUUGGAAGGCCAGCUAUGAAGCAAAUUAUUUUGUGGGUGAAAAUGUAGUUGAUGUUCCCCGAUGGGUAUGCAGCAAAUCUAAAGAGGGGAGCGAGUCUUCAAAAAUUGAAAAUAUUUGGUCUAAAAAGUCAUGAUUGGCACAUAUGGAUUGAGCGGAUAAUGCCGGUAAUGUUGCGUGGCUUCAUCGCUGAGGAUGAAUGGCUAGUACUGGCAGAGCUGAGCUAUUUCUUCCGCGUUCUUUGUGCGAAAGAACUAUCGCCUGGCCUCCUAGAAGAAAUGGAACAGUUGGCGCUGGAGUUGAUCUGCAAGUUAGAGAAGAUCUUUCUGCCAAGCUUCUUUAAUCCAAUGCAACACGUAGAAUAGAAGAUGGCAGACCAUUUCGCUGUAUCUCUUCAACAACCUAACAGAAGUGCGGCCGUACAUCGAGUAAGAUCUCGGUACAUUGUUUCACAACUUCUAAUUCCUUUGAACUUCUCUUAUUCCUAGAUAUUUGAUGCAGUCGAUACGUCGCCAUAUUCUCGUAUGGAGCGGUGAUCCAAAAGGAUUCCGUCGAAGAGUAUGAGCUUCUGGCAAAACAAGGAGCCGAAUUUCCCGGUUUCAUCUCUUGGUUCAAAAAAACGGUAAUUUCCAUUAGAGCCUUUCUUUUCUUUGGCUAAUUUGUGACUAAUGCAACAAUCCUUUCGUAUUAAACUUGUAGGCUAAUUCAGAGAUUAUGGAUGCCGAAUUGAGACGAGUAGCUAAUGGUUUUGACUAUAAGGUCCAUUCAUUUGACAAAUACGACAUCAACGGGUAUCGCUUUUGUACCUAUGGCAAAGAGCUAUCUAUGGCCGACCGAAAGUCUACAAAUUGUUGUGUCUCUGCUAUCGGCGAAGGAGGUAUCGAGUAUUAUGGAAGAGUUGAAGCAAUUUAUGAACUUGAUUCUAUGGUGAAAACCCACCAAACAUCGUACUCUUCAGAUGUUAUUGGUUCCAGCCGAGGGAGACUAGAAGGACUCAUGAACAUAUAGGGCUAGUCGAAAUCCAACAAAGCACCCAUUUGGAUGUUCCCGAUGUCUAUAUUACAGCUCAACAGACAACCCAAGUUUUCUAUCUACCGUGGGCCUAUCAAAGUGACCCAAAUCUCAGUGGUUGGGACGUCGUUUAUGAAGUGCCGCCACGUGUUAGACCACCUCCCCCCAAUGAAAAGGAUUAUGAACCUCACAUUAACCAAGACACAUAUGACGAAGGAGAAUUCUUCCAAGAAACACGUCUUUCCAAAAAAGUUUCAAGAACUGCUCUACUAAACCCUAGAACAUUGAAGUAGACAACGAUAGUGAAUCCGACUUCACCCCUGAGCCGGAACAAGAAGAGCCGGAAGAAGAAGAAGUUACUGCUGCAGAUGACCUGUCAAUGCUUCAAUGAUUACGUAAAGGUGGCCUUCCACAUGAUGAUGCAUUUAUUAAUGAUGAUGAUGAGCACGUCAUUACCGAUAGUGAUGAUGAUGAUGCUUUUAUUAAUGAUGAUGACGAGCACGUCAUUACCGAUAAUGAUUAUUAGGUAUUCAAAUUUUUAUGUUGUACUUGGUUUAUAUAGUUAUUUGUAUGAUUGUAUGAUUUAUAUAGUUGGUAUUUAUAAUUUUCUUACUUUGUAUUAUUGUUUCUUAUACAUAGUGCCGUCUUGAUUUCCGUCCCGGUCAGCCCUCGCCCGCUUUAUGAUUCGGAUAUGGCAAAUUCUCUUUCAUAACUAUUUGUUGCAUUUCGCAUUUAUGACAAUUAUGGCCAUCAAGUUGACAUAGAGAUAUUUUAAUCUAGGAGGUAUGUGAACCGGAAUUUGAAACGGACCCUCUUGUCGAGAAGUUAAAUUUAGUUGAAAAAGAAAAUGAGUAUUUGAAAGAAAAAAUUAAAAGAAUUGAAGAAGAGAAGAUGACAUUGGAGUUGUAUGUUGCCGAUGCCAUCGAUGAUCACAAGAUGAAGAUGAAUGCAAUGCGCUUGAAGAUGGAUGCAAUGCGCCUGAAGCUUAAGAAGAUUAGAGAAUAUGCCAUUGAUAAUGAGGCUUGGUAUCAUUAUGCCGUUGGAUCAAUUGUUACCUUAGUUGCGAUCUUCAUCACAUUUGUUGUGAUGAGGGUAAGUUUUCUCUAGUGUUUUGCUUUACAAAUGGAUACUUAGCUUAUUUUCCUCCUAAAUGGCAUAAUUACCUAAGUUAGAUAAAAAUAAGCUAUACUUAGCUUAUUCAGUUCAUUUAUGACAUACUUAGCAUACUUAGGUAAAAAAUGGCAUGAUAAUCUUUGUUAGCUCCAAAAUGAUAUAGACUUAGCUUAUUUUCCUCGAAAAUGACAUAAUAACCUUACUAAGCUCCAAAAUGACCUAUUUACCUACCUUAGCUCUAAAAUGACCUACAUUUAGCAUUUUUACCUAGCUUAGCAAUAAAAUGACAUUUUUACAUACCUUAGUUAGAAGAAGAAGAAGAUAAAGAAGAGGACAGGAGAAAAAGAAAGAGAAGAAAAAAAAUCUUCUUCUUCUUCUUCUUCUUCUAACUAGUCUUCUUCUUUUUCUUGUUCUAACUAGUCUUCUUCUUCUUCUAAUUAACUACUCUUCUUCUUCUUCUUCUAACUUUCAUCUUUCCCAAUUUGCAGAUUUGCUUUACAUGAGGAAGUUUGGAUUCAUGGAGUGUACUAUUCUUCUGGUGCUUCCUUGUUGUUUAUGAAAACUUGUUUGGAUAUGUAUGUCUAUAUGGAUAUGUUGUUGGAAACUUGUUUCUGGUUAUGUAUAUAUGGAUAUGUUGGACUUUGUUGAACUAUGUUGUUGGAUUGGAUGAAAUAUGUUGUUGGACAUGCUGUUGGAUAUGUUGGAUAUGUAUGCAUGUAUAUCUGUGUUUGAAACCAUGUCUAAUUAAUGGGAUGUAAAUAAAAACAGGGGAUAUAUAGCCUCUUUGUCGUCCGCUAGCAGACGGCAAAGAGGACACGUGGCAGUCACCUGUGCAAACUAGGAACACUGGCUGCCUAUUUGGUCAUUUUGCCGUCUGCUGGCAGACGCAAAGUGACCAGCUAUGUCGUCUGCCAGCAAACGGCAAUGAUUCAAACAUCUUUGCCGUCUGCUGGCGGACGGCAUAUCUGGACACGUGGCAGCUUCCCAGUGCUGCCUAGCUGGGCUCUUUGCCGUCUGUCAGCGGACGGCAAAGAUCUUUGACUCUUUGCCGUCCGCUGGCAGACGGCAAAGAGCGCCGUUAACCCCCUAACGGCUCUCACGCCACUGCACUGCCGUCAGCUGUGUUUGCCGUCUGCUGGCCUCGGAUGGCGCACGGCAUAAUACUUUGCCGUCCGUUUCUAAGAAGCGGACGGCAAAGAAGGCCUUUGCUGGCAGGUGUUCAUCCGGACAGUUUGCCAUUCGUAAUCUAUGCCUUUGCUGUCCGCCAUGGCGGACGGCAAAGAAGCUGAUUCCAGUAGUGUUGGGAAUUGGUAUAUUGACUUUCGCCAAACAACCCCAAGUACGUAGGUAAGAGAGUUUCAACAUUUUCCUUUCCCAUUCCUCAAAUGGAGUCAUGGUCUUAUGCUUUGUGGGAACUCGGUUUAUGACAUGACAUGCAGUCAUUAGAGCCUCCCCCACCAUUUCUUGGAGAGACCCGAUGUGUCUAACAUGGUGUUAACCAUAUCAGUUAGAGUUCGGUUCUUUCUUUCGGCUACCCCAUUUGACUGAGGUGACUAGGGAGGCAUCCUCUCAUGGAUUAUACCAUGUUCCGCACAAAACAAAUCAAAUUCAUUGAAAAAAUACUCUCCACCACGAUCAGACCUAAGCCGUUUAAUUUUUCGAUCAAGUUGGUUCUCUGCCUCAGCUUUAUAGUUUUUGAAGAAAGUUAAAGCCUCAUCUUUUGAUUUCAGAAGAUACACAUAACAAUAUCUAGUGGAGUCAUCAAUCAAUGUCAUGAAGUAUCUCUUUCCACCUUUUGUCAACACGCCAUUCAUCUCACAAAGAUCAGAAUAUAUAAGCUCUAGUGGCGCCAAGUCUCUUGCCUCUGUAGUCUUAUGGGACUUGCGAGGUUGCUUAGCUUGCACACAUACUUGGCACUUGGAGCCUUUGACAGUAGAGAUUUUCGGAAUUAAAUUCAUAUUGGCUAGCCGUGUCAUGCAACCAAACUUAAUAUGACAAAGUCGUGAAUGCCAAAUAUCAGACUCAUUACUGUGGCAAACAUUAUUAAUAACUUUAGUGCAAACUUCUGACAAAGACAGGCGGAACAAGCCUCCGCUCUCAUAGCCUUUUUCAAUAAAUUGUCCAUACUUAGAAAUUACAACUUUAUUGGAUUCGAAAACCAACUUAAAACCAUCUCGACAUAAACGGGAACCGCUAACGAGAUUUUUAUUGAUGGAUGGCACAUGAUGAACGUUCUUCAGACGCACGGUCUUCCCCGAAGUAAACUUCAGAUCGACCGUACCAACACCUCGAACGAUGGCAUGUGACCCGUUCCCCAUCAGCAUGGGAGAAGUCCCUCUGGUAAGAAGAAAACAUGGAGGCGUCAGCACAAACAUGUACAUUGGCACCGGUGUCAAUUAACCAAUCAGGAGAUUAAAAUACUGAAAGGAUGGUAGGAUGAAUACCGUACCCAGAUUCCUUCGUAUCAGUAUCACCAAUGACAACAUUAGCGGACUUGCCGCUCUUCUCAUGUUCACGCUCCUCAAAGCGGUUAGGACACUUCGGAACCCAGUGAUUAGGAUCACCGUAGACAUGGCAAAGUCCCUUCCCCUUCUUAUGAGAAUUCUUCUUGAAGUUGGUAGAAUGUGACGGCUUGUUCUUUGUAUCAAACUUGCCUUUGCCCUGAGUUUUGUUCUUGUUGUUUUUGAACUUGUUGGGCUGGAAGUUCUUCUUCUGUACCAUGUGGGCACUAGAAGCUCCCUCGGCAACUCGAGCACGUGUGUCCUUUGCUCUCGCCUUCUCUUCAACAUCAAGAGUACCAAUGAGAUCCGCAACGGAAAACUCCUAUCUCUUGUGUUUUCGGGAAGUAGCAAAAUUAUUCCACGAAGGUGGAAGCUUGGCAAUGAUGCCUCCGGCAACAAAUUUGUCCGCCAACACACACUUGAAGUACUCAAGUUUUUUGGCGAGUGAUUGUAUCUCAUGAGCCUGCUGUACAAUAGAGCGGUCAUCAGUCAUCUUGUAGUCAUAGAAUUGCUCCAUGACGUACAACUCGCUGCCGGCGUCCGAGGCCCCAAACUUGGCCUCGAGCGCAGCCCACAUGUCCUGGCCGUUUUCAAAAAAACAUAUACGAAUCCACAAUGGAAUCAUCAAGAACACUCAGAAGAGCGUCUUUAAAGAGAGUAUCGAUCUUCUCAAAAGCUUCCUGUUGUGUUGGAUUAAGAUCGCCCUCAGGCUUGCCCUUAGUGGCGUCAUAGCAGCACAUGGUCUGAAACCAGUAGACUGCUCUCGUGCGCCACCUCUUAUAUUGCACCCCCUUAAAGGCAGGCGGCUUCAAAUGCGCAGCAAAACCACUUGGAGUAAAUUGCCUAUAUUCAGGUUUUUGGAUUGUUGGAAAUAAGAGCAAGUUACUACGAGAUUUAAUCCGAAUAAACAGAAGAUAAAUCAUGACAGCAGUAGCAGAGAUUAAACUAAUCAUGCGAACUAGCAUAGUAGAUGAAAAGAUCACAUCUAGGGCACAUACUAGAAACAUGAAUUCUACCACGAUCUCGAACAGGAAGGAUAGAAUCACAUACGAUGCAGCGGGAGCAGCACCGCCGGCGUUGACGUUGUCGCCCAUGUCGUCGAGGACGAGGUUGCCGAGGUUGGGGAAGAAGUCGUCGUUGGCGAAGUCGUCGCUGCCAGCAGUCGCGCGAGUGCGCUCCCCAAAAACCUAAUCGCCCCUCUCCCGUACAGGAUCACGAGAGGCGGGUUCCGGAGGUCUACUGUCCCUUCUCCCGGUGCACGCCGAAAGGAGGGAUGGAGAAGACUUGCUUGGCGGUGCAAUGAUCUGGAACGGUGGUGCGAAACCAUGCGAGAGGUGGCAGCUAGGGUAGACGUCUGCCAGACUAUAUAAUGCGGGUCGGGUAGGUCGUGGAGAAAACCCACAUCCAAGUAAGAGCCCCACGAUCCAAAAGGAUCGGAAACGGCUGAGUAAUUAACGCGUCCAGUAAUUAUUAAUUAAUGACUUAUUAAUUUUUCCCGAGCAGCAAAAAUAUAGACACCGUGCAUAGCUCUGUCCUCAGCUCAUUCCCGCAACCCGCGUCGUGACGAGGCGUGGCGAGACGAGCGAGGAGGAGGAGCGCGCGUGUAGGUCUCCUCUUCUCAUGCUCAUACAAAUGGUAGAAGAGCUCACCUAUAAGAGGUGCAACUCUCUCUCAACUUAUGAGGUGGGACUAAAUUUUAGUCUCACUCACACCACUCACAUGUGUGCAUGAAUGGGCCAAGAGAAUUUCAGAAUUUUAGUUGGGCUUUGGGCCAAAAGCCCACUAGCAAAUUCCAACAGAUUUCAACGAUUAUGAAUCAGUAGAUGGGUUGGGGUGGAGGCAGGGUGACAACUGUGGCGGGAGGACGAAGUGUGUGUGUGUGUGCGCGCGCGCGCGCGUGCGUGCGUGUGUGUGUGUGUGUGUGUGUGUGUGUGUGUGAAGGUUUAGUGGCCCCAAAAUAAAAUUGAUGUUUUUAGAGGGACCUCUGAAAUCGCGAGGAUGCCCUCUACGAAAUAUGUUCUCUCUUUUUGUAGAGUGAAUACAUGUUUAUGUAAUUCUAGUAAGACCGGUGAAACAUAACUCAUAUGUUUUAUUCCUAUAAUGCCGAAGCAUAACUUAAAUAUAAUAUCUUGAAUCAUUAAAAAUUUGUGAAAUGGCCUAAGUCACACAAGUCCUAACAAACAUCUUUUACAAAAAAGAAAAUGACACCCAAUCUUUUAGGUGUGCCCAAACCUUCUUCCUUUUGCAUCCACCAACCACGCACUGUGAGUAAAGCUUGAUGUCGUCUCCAGGCCUUCGCCCCAAUGAAGCAAACUUGUUUAAACCAAAAGCUCGUAGAAGCAAUGGUUAGUACAACACAAAAGAGGAGCAACAUUUCGUAUAAUAAUGUGCAGAAUUUCUCAAGUGGCAGUAACGAAUCAAUUUGAGUUAGACUAGGAAACAAGAGUGUGUGUGGACGCGCGUGAGAGAGAGAGAGAGAGAGAGAGAGCGAUCGUUGAACCGUUGGAGAGUUUUCUUACUAUUAAUUUUUCAUUCUUUGGUGCAUGUUUUACGUCGUUUUGCGAGUCCUUAUUUCUUCUUUUCCACACACAACUAGACUUGCACAUCCGUCGGUCAUGCACAAUUGCAGUUGCACAAAAAAUAUUGAAAGAAGAAAAGAAAAAAAAAAGUCAAACUCUAGCCACACCCAAGGAACUGUCCAACCCUCUUGUGUCACCGAAAGAAAGACACUUUUAUCUUUUUUUUUUAGAAAACUUCCAAUCUAUUUAUCUCAAUCAUGGCAGGACAAUGAAUAUCAGAAAGAAUAAAAAUUACAUAUAGAUCCAUAGACCAAAAGCGUUGAAGCGAGCCGAAGGCGUGCCGCCGUCAUCACCCCUCCCUCACCGAGCCGGACAAAACUUGUUGUACCCCCUCCGUCCGAAAAAAUUUGUCCAUUUGAGGGACAAGUUUGGGACAAGCUUUUUCGGACGGAGAGACUAAUAGAUAGUCGAGAAGUCGUCAUGCUAAGACCCCAUAGGACCAGAACAACAACCGCCGUCGAUGAAGAGAAACAUAGAUCGGAAGGGUCCAACCUGAAGGCACACGAACGUAGGCGAACAAAGACUGGAUAUGAGUAGAUCCACCGAAAACAACCACCGAUCGAAUCCCGUGGGAUCCGCCGGAGACACACCUUCACACGCCCUCCGACGAUGCUAGAUGCAACACAGGGCAUGUGAACGUUAUUCCAUCUUCAGAGAGCCUCCAUCGUCUCGCUUUUCUGAGCACAAAUCCUAACAAAACUAAAAGAAACGUCUAAAAAUGGGCCAUCAGAGACGGGACACCAAAAGAAAACAUGUUGCGCAGUGGCGUGUUUCUAUUCAUCUGUUUUCUUGACAUGAUGUUUUUGUUGAGCUUUAGGUAAUGUGAGGAGCACACAAAGCACAUGUUUAGCAUAGCGUGGCCGCUACCACAAGAAAACCUAGAUCACGUCCUCUCCUCUCGCCGCCACCGGCGAUGGAGGGGAGGUCCUUCAGAGAUGUGGUGCCAUGGUGAGACGUGUGAUACGGCGCGGAGGGCCGGUGCUACGUGUGUGUUGGUAGCUGGUUCGAGUUGGCGGCUCACCUCCGGCACGUUGGCUACCUUUGGUGGCUGAAUGGCCUAGCUUGGGCAUUAGAGAAGGGGGCUUCGUGAUGGGAUGUUUGGCGGCGAUGGGUCUUCGGCUAUCUUAGGGUUUUGGAUAGGAAGGUUAAACGGCGGCGCCAUCCCUAUGUAGGAAUAAGGUUCUCCAUGUCCUAUCGCCAUUUUGUUGGUGUGUUUAUCGUUGAUGGAGGGUGUCUGAAGUUGUGUCUCUGGCGGGUCUUCCGGGAUCUGGUUGGUUUAGGUUUCUGGUGGGUCCGUCUGUAUUCGGACGGUUUUCGUUGUCUUCGAAGUUUCUACAUGUCAUUGUUGGUGUUUUCUUCUCCGGGCGGCGAUUUGCUUCAUAGAUCACGAGCGCCGAAAUAUCCUGGCCUACUUUGACGACUUUCUGGCUGCUACUUCCACGAGCUACUGGGUUGGAAAAAAUUGCUCUGCCGAGGCGAAGGCCGAAUCCAGCUACUCUCACAGCGCGUAGCCGGUGGAUGCAGGAGGAAGAAGACUUUGGCUCCCCAUGAAUUUGAAUCUAAUUUUCCUUUUCUGUAUCGUUGAGUUUGUAAGGACGUGUCUUACUUAAUAUACGGUCUUGGACCUUACACAAAAAAAUAUGUGAAGAGCACACGAGAAGAUAGAUUCUCUCUACUGUAAAUAUGGCGGGUGAUUUCCAUCGGUGCUACUCCGCAAUAUUGGAAGGCAUGUCGGAAUCAAAUAAAUUUGAUUAUUUUCUUUGUGGAGAUACGUAUUUUUUAGGUAGUAUUCUUUAUGAAAAACAAACACCAAUUAACUUUAGAACUCCAAGAUCUGAAUAGAUCCUAAAACGACUUGUGUUUUUCCUGGACUCCGUCCCGGUGUAGGCAGAAGCCCUCCGAGUAUAUAAUUGGAAAGUGAUGAAACGUACGCACGCACGGAUAGAUCGUAUCCGUGACCAAGGACAUGGCGCUGCCGGAGAACAUCGACGGCGGCCAUCGGGCCAUCGUCAUCGAAGACGUCCCGCCGGGCACCGGGAUCGCAGACCUCGUCGGCGCCUUCUCUCCUUUCGGCACGAUCCAGUUCGCUUCCAUGGGUCCUCCUGCCGUCUUGGGUUUCGAGAGCGAGGAGGCCGCGGCGCACGCGCUGCUUGUGGCGUCCAUGAAGAGCGUCAGCCUCCUCGGCGUCUACAGGGAGAAGGCGACCAGUCCGAUCGAGGCAGCUGCGAUGCCGCCAUCAGCCGUGGCCGCGGCUCCAGAGGGAGCGACCAGUACGACGGCCGAGACCAAGACCAGCCAGAACAAGGCAGCGUCGGCGCCCGCCGUGCACAUAGACCAGGAGGCGAUCAGCUCACUCCUGGACUCCAUCCUCGCCCUGGAGGAAAACCUCGACACCUUGAAUAGCCUGCUCACCCAGCAUAGCUCCAAGAAGGAGGAGAAGGAGGAGGAGGGCGACGACAUCGACGUUUACAACUACGACAAGGCCUGGACAGACGGCUACAAUUCAGCCUUGUACUGGCCGGACGACAACUACUACGACGCCUGGUUCGCCGGCUACCAGGCUGGACCCAAGGAUUCUCCGAUUGGUUGAAUUUACAGAACUUAAAGCUGCAUCUAGGAGCAGGUGAUUUCUUUAGACGUUAAAAGGCGUGGAAAAACAGUUCUGCAUCUACUUGUUCGUGUCGUUAUUGUUUCUGCAAAUUUUCAUGGGAUAAAACCCUAGAAUUAAUUUGUUAGGCAGUUCAGAAGUUUUUAGUGCUUAAAUUUUUUGCUUUUCAAGGGCUGAAGUUUGUCCCGAUCGAUCGAAUCAGAGGAAACACGCGAGAGCAAAAUCAGGAGAAACAACAAAAGUUAAAUAUUUUCAUCAGAGAGAAAAGUCUCUUUCGUCUCCGCUAAACUAACUAUACGAGAAACCAGGGGAACUAGCCCUAGCCGCCGCCACGUGAUCGAAUCCUUCUCACCUUCGUAUGGAGGAUUUGGUUGCCUGCUGCGGGCGGCUGUGUUGGCGAUCCACAGCGCCGAUCUUCAACGGCAGCACGGCCUGGAUAGGUCAACGGAGAAGAGGGAGUCGGUGCAUGGUUCUGCGCGACGGCGAGUUCGGCAUCAUACCCAAACCUAUUGUGCAGCGGCAUGGGUGAUUUCCUUUUUUCAGAUUUUCUUUAGAGAAUCAUCGAGUGGAGGGCUUGUGGAGCCGUCGAUCGGCGUUUAUGGUCUUCGGAGUUUGUAUAGGCUCUUAUCAACGUUUUCUUCUCCGGGGCAGCGAUUUGCUUCGCAGAUCACGGAUGUUGGUGUCUCCUGAUCUGCAUCGACGAGUUCCCGGUCGCUCCUUCUACAAGCUCCUGGGUCUAAAAAAGUUUGCUCUGCCAAGGCGAGGGCUAGAGGCGGCAUCGAGUUAUGCUCACAAUGCGCCGCCGAUGGAUACGGGAGGAAGAAGACUUCGGCGCCCCCAAGAAUUUGAAUGUAAUUUUAUUUUUCUGUAUGGGUGUAUUUGUAAGACCUUUUGAUACUUAAUAUAUGGCCUUCUGCAAUUUCACAAAAAAAACAUGCGGGAGCAAAAUUAACCAAAAUAUCCUAAGGAGGUCGUGUGGAGCCGUCUCUCCGGCGGGUCUCACAGGAUUCGGUCAGUUUAGUUGUCCGAUGGAUCCAUCUAGAUUCGGCCGGUGUUCAUGGUCUUUGAAGUUUCUACCCACUCUUAUCGACGUUUUCUUCUCGGGGCAGCGAUUUGCUUCGCAGAUCGCGGUCGCUGGUGUCUCCUGGUCUGAUAGAUGACUUCUCGGCCUUUGCUUCUAGAAGCUUUUGGAUUUUAAAAAAAUCACUCGUCUAAGGCGGAGGCCCAAAGGCGGCGUCAAGCUAUGCUCACGGCGCGACGCCGGUGGAUGCAGGAGGAAGAAGACUUCGGCACCCUCGAGAAUUUGAAUGUAAUUUUAAUCUUUUUGUAUGGGUGUGUUUGUAAGAUCUAGUGAUACUUGAUAUAUGGCCUUCUGCCCUUUCACAAAAAAAGCAUGCGAUAGCAAAAUCAACCCAAAUAUCCUGACGGGCAGGUCAGACAUGGAAACAGAGUUAAGAUAUCUACUUGUUGGUGUCAUUUGUGUUUCUAUAAACUUUCAUGGUACAAGGCGCUAGAGUUAAGAUAGCUCGGUGAUGAAAAUGUUUAGGGUUUAAAUUUUAACAUUCUAAGCGUUGAAGUUUGCCUUUUUACCGGAUGCAAAAAAGCUUUUUUUUUCAUGAAAGCUGACAUGAACAUGUGUGACAACACCAACAUGAACCGGUUAUUGGUUAGGUUAGACAUUCGCAUCCAUGCAUACCAAUUCCAUUUGUAUUUCUCACAAUCAUAAUAAUUUAUGGCUCUAUAUUCCACCAAUAGUAUCGCUUUAAUCGGUCAUGGGCGGGCACAGCCAACGGGUCUGAUUCAAGACGGAGACGCACCCAUCGGGGCCGAAUAGAGGCUAAUUCGUACAGGGCACGCACACACCCUCCGACCAAACGGGCCGACCCACUAAGGACUAUACAAUUAGUGCGGGUUUUCUAGCGUUUUUUUUGUGGCCGGUUUUUUUGUUCUUUUUCUGUCCCUUUUUUGGCCGUAUCCUAUUCGGUUUUUAUUUUCUUCAUUCUUUAUCUUUUUUUGUUUUUAGUUCUUUUAUUUUAAUUUCAUGAAAUUUUCUUUUUAAAUUGUGUGAACUUUUUCAAAAUUUUAAAAAAUCAAUUAUUAUUUUUCAAAUUCAUGAACUUUUUUCAAAUUUGUGAACUUUUUCAAAUUCAUAAAAAUAUCAAAUCCAUGAACGUUUUUCAAAUCCAUGAAAUUUUUUCAAAAUCCAUGAAAUCUUUUCAGAAUUCGUGAUUUUUAGACAUUAAAAGGUGUGGAAAGAAAUUUGGGCAUCUACUGUUCGUGUCAUCAUUGUUUCUGCAAAUUUUUAUUGGACAAAACCCUAGGUUUAAGACGUCUAUGUUUUAUUAGGGAGUAGUAUUGUAUAUGUUAACAAGAAGUGUUGUGCUUAAAAUUUUGACCCCUUCAGCGCUGAAGUUUGUCCCGGUCAAUCGAAUCAGAGGAAACAUGUGAUAUCCUGAUGGCUGGGCCAGACAUGGAAACAGAGUUAAGAUACCUACUUGUUCAUGUAAUUUGUGUUUCUGCAGAUUUUAAUUGGUUAAGAUCCUUUAGUUAAGAUAUCUCACUUAUAAAAAUGUUUAGUGCUUAAAAUUUAACUUUUUAAGCACCAAAUUUCUCCUUACCGGAUGCAAAAAUGUUCUUGUAUUUCAUGAAAGUUGACAUAAACAUGUGUGACAACACCAACAUGAACAGGAGAAAGAGCUAUUGAUUUGGCUAGACAAUCGCAUCCAUCCAUGCCAAUUCCAUUUGUAUUGCUCAACCAUAAUUAAAAAUUGAGGGUACUCAAUUCAUAAUUAUUUAUGGCUUUUUGAAACGUUCUGAAUAAACAAAUUUACGAAGAAAAAAAUUUGAGGCUGCGCAAGUUACACAUGCAGUGCGCCACUUGUCAGCACCUGAGAAGGUAUGAGUGAAUUUUGCAAGGAGUACCUUUGCAAUUAGUGAUCCCGUAUAUUCCACCAAUAGCGUCACUUUAAUUGGUCAUGGGUUGGCUCAGGCAAUGGGUUGAUUCAAGACAGCUGCUGCAAGAUCAGGUGGGCCACCCCAAAUAUGGGCCUACUACCUCUCUUCACGCCACCCUUAUUGGGGCAGCUAGCGGAUCCCACCACUCCAGCAGGGCUAUAUGUCACUGACUCACUGUAUCGAUUCUUAAUACGGAUGUUUCUAAAAAAAAGAUUCUUAAUACGGAUGGAUGUGCACACGACGCUAUGUGCCCGACGUGCACACGAUAAAUAAUCUGCACUGUCAGAUGCUUUAGGGACAAAAGUACAGAUGGCUGGAUGGGAAACAUCGUCUGUAUGUCAACUAAAAAUAUCGGUUGUAUAGCAGUGCUCUUCUUAAUAUGAAUCGCCUACGGGCGACGUCCAGCGAAUAGGCUCAGUAGCAAGGCUUCGUUCACUGCGUGCUAUAGGUACGUGUGGUUCAGUGUACUACUGUUCUUUUGUUUUUGCUUUUUUCCUUUUGGUCUAUUUGUUAUUUCAUUAGUUUUCCUUUUAUAUAUUGCUUUGGUUUUCUUUGUUUUCUCAUUGGGGUUUUUGGCCUUUCUUUCUUUUUUCUUAUACUUUGGUUUCUUUCUAGUUUUUCUUCGUUUUCUUCGGGCUUUUUAUGCUUUUUGGUAUCUUUGUCGAUUUUAUUGGGUUUUUUCCACAAAUGACUUCUUUUUCUUAGAGCACAAUGUAUGUUUUUAGAGCAGACGUGCAGCAUUUUAUGAUACACUUUGGAUAGUUUUUAAAUAUAUGAUAUACAUUUUUGAAAAUACAUGUUUUGAAUACACAGUAAUAUUUUUUCCAAAUAUCCCUUGUUCAUUUUUAACUUAUGGGAAUACACUUUUCACAUUCUAUAAACUUUGUUUAAAAUGUCACGAGCAUUUUUUUUGAAUUGAUGGAUUUUUUUCUGUAAAAUGUUACAUAUAUCUUUUAAACUAUACAAAACAUUUUUGAUAGUACGCAAACACUUUUUUACAUUGUAUAAGUUUUUUUGGAAAUGUCAGAGAUUAUUUUUUUAAUUCAUGAAUAUUUUCUUAAAUGGUGCGUACAUUUUUCAAAAUUAGUCAAGCAUAUUUUUACAUUGUAUAAACAUUUUUUUUAAAUAGCACGUACAUUUUUUAACUGUUACAAACAUUGGUGAGACUUUAUUAAAUGCAACGGUGCACUGUAGAACACAGAAAAACCUAAUAAACUUGAUAAUAACAAUUCUAGUUACAAACUCUUAAUUUUAUGUUUGAAGCGCAUUAACAAAGAUUGAAGUAUUAUGACAUGCUUUGGAACACAAUGAAUCACAUUGAAACCGUAUGAUUGUUUUUGCAGGACAUAAUAGAAUAACAUUGAUCUGCGUGAAACACAACAUUAAGUUUUCGCCAAGUGUCACCAAGUUCCUUCGUAUUAGUUUGAUGUGCAUUGACACACACGGUGUAACAAUAUGAUACACUUUGGCCCAAUGAACUACAAUAGAAGCAGUGAUUGACAUGCUUUGGAACACUGUGAUACACCAUGUAACAUCGUGUGCAAUUUGCAUGUAGGCCUGNNNNNNNNNNNNNNNNNNNNNNNNNNNNNNNNNNNNNNNNNNNNNNNNNNNNNNNNNNNNNNNNNNNNNNNNNNNNNNNNNNNNNNNNNNNNNNNNNNNNNNNNNNNNNNNNNNNNNNNNNNNNNNNNNNNNNNNNNNNNNNNAAUGAGGCUUGCAACCUUUUGCAGCAAUUGAGAGGGAUGGUGAAACCGGACCUUGCCGCAUAACAAAAUGAAAGAAAGAGGUUGAAGUCACUGCACCAAAACCAGAUAACUACCCCCUGCUUGACACACCAACUGCCAAUAAGAUUCAAAAAGAGCUAACAGAUCUGGCAUCACCAAUCCUCACAUGCUCUUCACUAAUACCAGAUUGGACGUUGUAGAAAUAGAGAGAGGCUGGAGACCUUGUUCCAACACACCAUCGUUACCACCACCACCACGCGGAUGUCGCAUGGUUGUUAUCGUCAUGGCUGGCCGAAAACAGGGGGUGCGAUGUUGUUGUGUGGCGAGUGCAAUGAGAACAACCUCAUGCUCUGACCCAUGUGCUAAGAAGUUACAUAACUUCACAUUGUUACAUAACUUCACAUUGUCAUUUGAAUUUAUCAUAGCUACUUUUGCUGAGUGCCCAAAAUAAUUUGUAGCUGAUGUUCAAAUUAUAUGUAGUUACUUUGUAUGUUGUUGUGGUUAGUAUACAUAACCUCUACCAAUGACUACUGAUUCUUAAAUUGAGUUGUGUCAACAUAUUCAUUUAUAUGAAAUCCAUUAUGAACACUUUCGCCAUUAUACUUCGAAAAUCUAUCUUCAUCUGGAUACUUCUUGCUUCACUUGGUAUGAAAGUUUUCUUUUUCUUCCAAAAAGUCUGAGAUGGUAGUACCAUCAGAACACAUUGUUGAUGGUUUCAAAUGAGUUACUCAUGACAUUUUACUACGUAUGUGUUUCUUUACAAAUGACAUCAAUUUAUGUACUUCGCUAAAUUGUUCAGCGGGAAAGAGUUGUGAGGCAACUAAAGGUGGUGGAGAGGCGAUUUCUUAUGCAUGGUGGUAGCGACGCACGCAUGGUGGUAGCUACGCACGCAUGGUGGCAGCUACACACCCUUUGGCAUAAGUGUCUUUUUUAAUAUAUGAGGUGUCAAAUUUCUUAUGGCAUUGGCAAGAGUGCAUUUUUGUUGUAUAGAAAUGACUUUUUCUCACUUCUCUUUGUCUUUUUAUUACCUUUUGGCACAAGUGCAUUUUCAUUGUGUAGAAAGGCCCUUUUCUCACUUCCCUCAUCCUUUUUGCUUGCCUUUUUGGCAUAAUUGUCUGUUUGCUUUACUAACUGGUCCAAAGUCACGAUAUUUUCGUUAUAGAGUUGUUUUUAUAGUCCAAAAGAAUUAUAUUAAACGUGCAUGCAUGUGCAUAUCAUAUAUUAAAAAAGAACGUAUAUAGAAACCCGAAUCAACCAAAGGUAGCAACACCAUGAAAGUAUGUGCUCCCUACUUCUUUUUUUACUCCAGUAUUAGGUUUGUCUGAAGUUAGAUUCUUCAGGGUUUGACCAAGUUUAUUAAGAAUUAUUAGCAUUCAUAAUACAAAACAUCAUGAAAUAUAUUUUAUAUUAUAUUUAAUUGGUAUUAGAUUCUUCAGGGUUUGACCAAGUUUAUUAAAAAUUAUUAGCAUUCAUAAUACAAAAUCAAUAUCAUUAGAUUCAUCAUGAAAUAUAUUUUAUAUUAUAUUUAAUUGGUAUUGUAGAUGUUGAUACUUUUUACUAUAAAUUUGGUCAAAUUUUAUAAAGUUUAACUUUAGACAAAUCUAACACGUGGAGUAAUAAAAAGAAACUGUAAUAUGAAUGAAAUACACGCACUGGACAAGUACCAUGAAAGUAUGUAUGAUGCACAAAUGGACAUGUCAAAUUAUACUCUUCUUAUCCAACUACCACCACCCGAACAAAUUCAACGCAGACGUACUGCUGUAGCCCGGCCCGGCCGACCGGGUCGAGCCAAGAAGCAAAACGAGGACCAUUUCAAUCGAUCAAGGCAGGUGGUAGAGGGCGGACGGCGGCAGCGCGGCGGUGGCGUUGAAGUAGGCGAGCGUCUCCGCCCACCGGCCGGCAUCCUUGAGCAUGUGCACGGCGAUGGUGUCCGGGCGGAAGCCGCGCCGGAAGCAGUUGGCCGGGGAGCUCCCCAGGUAGUUGUACAUCCUGGGGGCGCCGUCGUAGCGGUUCUUGGCCUUGCCGGCGACGUUGAGCCACCGCCCCGUCCACAUGUCCUCCGGCCCGACGCGGUCCCGGCGGCUCACCUCCGACCGCGCCACCCAGCGCACCAGGUCCCACGAGAGCGCGUACCCCAUGCCGGACAUGAAGGGCGGGAACGGGUAGAAGUUUUCGCGGUCGCACGGCAUCUGCAGGCCCAGGUACGCGUCCUCCCGCGCCGCGCCGGCCACCCACGCCGCCAGCGCCGGGAGCCGCAGGUACGUGUCGUCGUCGGCCUUCAUCACGUAGUCGUAGGCGCCGUCGGGGAAGGCGCGGGCGGCGGCGGCGAAGAAGUCGUACGUCUUGCCGCCGUCCAUGUUCUCGGCGCAGUCGAGCACGAUGACGUCGCCGUAGCGCAUGAUCUCCAGCGCCACCAGCACGGCGUCGACGGCGGAGGUGACGUUGCAGAAGACGAAGCGCACGUCCACGGCGCCGGCCAGGGCGGGGUGCUCCUGGAGCUGCAGCGCGUACACCGUCCGCAGCAGGUGCCGCCGUUCGUACUUGCCCGGCAUCGUCUGGAUGCCGAUCAGCACGCGCACUCCGGGGUGCGCCUUGACCGGCGUGGUGGCGUCGGCGUGCUUGGCCGGCGUGGUGGCCUUGGGCGUGGCGUUGACCGGCGAGAGGACGUCGUGGGGCGGGGAGCCGGGGCAGGCGCCGGAGAAGAAGGACUGGAGGCGGAAGUCGUUGGGGUGGACGACGAAGACGGUGAAGGCGAGGAAGCCGGCGCCGAGGACGAGCAUGAGGAGGUGGGACGCGUUCACCGGCGAGCCGGCGGCGCCCAGGCCCAGCUGCUUGUACAGGGAGGACGGCGACGACGACAUGGCGGCGCUCUGAGGGAUCAGGUGCACCGGCGUGCUGCUUGCGCGGACAAGGAAUGGGAGCGCUGCGUCUGCUUCUACUUGCCUAGAGAAGGAAAUGGAGCGCCUGCUUCUGCUGCGUUGGACAUGGACCUGGUCGUGGCACGCGAGGCCGGGCCAGGCCGCUGCUGAUUUGGUCGACGACGGCGAGGUUGCGUGGGUGGUGAAGAGACUGAUUACGCAUUGAGAAAUUCGCAAUCGGGGAGGAUUACAAAACGAGAGAGGUUAGGUUCAGAGGUGAUGUCAGACGGAGGUGACAGAUUGUGACUAAUCCAACUCGAGUCAUGCCUCGGGCUUCCACCGGGUACAAUCAAUAACUACAGGGCAACUGCUAAUCGACAGGUGCUCACAGGGUACAACGAGUUAAGCAAAGUGCUUCAGACAUUGUGCAGUCAGCAAAACGAGGCUCAUCCACUUGUUUUCAUCCGAAUCACACCCUAGAUGAGCUCUUCUUAGAGAAAGGAACUCCACUUUGAGACUCAAAGUUGAUGAGAAUAGUCGAUUUGAACGGCAUCACCGAAUCAGUUUAGCUACUACACAUUAGUCAGCAGAUUCGAACACAACGAUCAGUCGAUUUUUAUCUUAGGGUUGAGAGGCCGGCGGUGGGGAGUGGGAGUGGUUCCAAGGAGGGCGGGGCGGGGCAGCGGGAGCGCCGCCGGCCGCAAGCGGCUCAAGGAAGAAGAUGCAUCAAAAGGUUGAAGAAAGACCGUGUGCCAUUGAUUUUCACAUCCAACAGUUCACAGAAUCAACUGGCCUUAAACGAAAUUUUCAGCCACGCCCAUAACGAAUAGCAGUUUUAGUAGGAUGAGAUCAGAUCAGGGCAAAAAUGUUACUCCCUCACAGCAAUAAUAAUUCACAAAGAUAAAUGCAGCCUGAGACAACGCAAACAACAAGCAAUACCCCGCAAAGACAAAUGCGAUCAGGCGCGGCUAAAUAGUUGCAGUAUAUUGAAAGCAGCAGUCAAAGCAAAAAAACCCUGGUGCGAAACAGAUCGUCUUCCAUAGUACCUCAUAAUGUGCUCAUCAACAAAUCACCUAAGCAGAAAGUAAACAGUAACUCAAGCUGAAAGUACCAGGCAGACAAUGUGCCUCAGAACAGUCAAAAACUUGACAGGCAUUACAACCUCUUCGGGCCAGCAAGACUCCUACGCGUACCCGGCGAACCCGGCUUGGAUCUUGAAGACCCUGAUGGUUCCGUCGGUGUAUCCGGUGUAGAGGGUGCUUCCGUCCGCGCUCCAGCUCAAGCUUGUGCAGUACAGCAUCUG
rnacentral:lncRNA from 1 species